rnacentral:lncRNA from 1 species
ACAGAUCGAAAGCUUGUAGGUAGGUCUUCAUUUUAACCACCCAUAUGUGGUAGCCUUCUCCAUUGAAGACUUGAGGUGCAGCUGGUGAAAAGCUUGAUGAAGCCAUGAAUUUGUAUAAUAGAUCCCUUAAGAAAUAGGCUCUUGAUACCAAUUGUUGGAGCUAAGUGCAACAAAUAGCAAGGUUCAACAAAAAGCUUGCCGAGCAAGAAUCGAGACUUGCGGCAGAAACAAAGAAGAAAAAUGAAAUAAAUUUUAAGCAAAGCUAAAAUAGAGAGUAUAUGGAUGAAAUCUUGAUUGAAUUCCUUCAUUUUUUUAAAAUGGCAUAAAGCCUAUUUAUACAAGCUUACAACUUGACAACUUAGUUGGAAUACAACUAAGUUUCAUCAUUACAUCCACUUAAAAUAAAUCACCACCUACUACCAUUCCAACUAAGUUUCAUCAUUACAUCCACUUAAAAUAAAUCACCACCUACUACCACUAACAAACUUAGUUGGAAUACAACUAAGUUUCAUCAUUACAUCCACUUAAAAUAAAUCACCACCUACUACCACUAACAAACUUAGUUGGAAUACAACUAAGUUACAUCAUUACAUCCAAAUAAUAAUAAUAAUAAUAAAACAUGUGAUUGCUACAUGCUAACCAUUGCUUCAAUACCCUCUCUCUCUCUCUCCUUCCUUUUACAGUAAUGAGUUAAGAUUUUCCACAUUCAUCCACACACAAGUUAGGUUUUUGAGUUUCUAAAAAGUAGUCAUUUACUGCUAUGGAAAAGAAGAAGAAGAAAAAGCAUAAGAAACUUAUUGCCACUUCUUUUAAUCAAGAACUUGAAUCAAAUAAUCUCUUGGUAUGUGACCUCUUCUUCUUAAAUGGGUUUGCCUUAUUUUGUUUUGUUCUUUCUAUUAGCUGAAAGUUUAUUGAUUGAUAAUCUGGGGUUUCAUUUUCCUGCCUUAAUUUUUUUGGGGGGUGUCCUCAAAUGUGUACUGGUUGAAGGAAAACCAGUGUUUUGUUAUGUGUUAUGCCAGGGUUCAUUGUUUUGGAUGAUAAGAGUACUUUUUCUUUAUUUAGCAUAAUGGAGUGAGAAGUUGUGCAUUGUCAACAAAUCCAGUUGUAACUGUUGCAUUUCAAUUUCCACAUCGCAUGCAACUGAUGGAUGGUUGUGAUGAGUGCAUCUUUGAUUAUUUUCCCAAAUUUUAACGAGCUGAAUUCGUCAUAAACAGAGCAAGGAACAACAAAAUCAACCCAAUGAGGCACUUGCUGCAAAAGUUACCAAAAAUGGCAGCUCUUCACAAGAAAAUCUUUCUUCCUUGAACGAUCAACGUUCACGUAUUCUUCAAUGGCCAUACUCCACCCAAAAGGCGGCAGAGCAGUCUUCCUUGAAUCCAAGACCUUGUAUAUCAAGUCAGACGCCUCCUAUUCUUGCAAGCCAACCACAGCAAGUAGCACCAUUGCAGUCCAAUUUCCCUCAUCAUCUUGUCCAGCAGGGCCAACCCACAGUGCAUUUAGCCCCAUCCACUUCACCCUUAUGGCUGCCACAGCGACCUAGUUACCAUUUCCCUGCAGUAUCUGUGCCUGCCACAUUUCAGCCGUUCACUGCUAGUUGGCAACCGUCUCCUCUAAUUGGAGGAACUUCCCCAAGGAGCCAACAUGAGGUCCCAAAUAUCGGUUACCAUUUUAGCCCGUUCCCAAGUUUUCCAGGUAGGAUUUGAACCAAGUACUUUGAAUGUUACUGGUUUUCCUGGUAAGGCAAGCCAAAGUUCUUUCUGAUUUAUGUUUAUCAUAUCUCAUCAUACUGUGUGAUUACUAUUAGUGCGAAUUGAUUUAUGACAUAUCAAUGGAUAUAUGAUGCUAAUAUGAUCAGUUAGUGAAUUGUGCAUUCUACCAAUUUAUGUAGCAUAAUUUCUAAUUUGGAAGUCAAGAAGUUGCUAAAUAGAGGACCUUGGAGCCAUGUAAUGUUGGAUUUUUCAUGGGAACAGGUCCUUGGGAUCCCUCUUCUUGGUGGACUCAUGGUCAGCAAGUUCAUCCAUCUUUCAACUAUACUUUCCCAGGAGCUUAUAAUGGCUCCUUUUCUUCAGAACCUCCGCCAAUGCCUAAUUGUUCAGCAACCUUUGGAGAGUCCUCUCAAAGAGGGAUUAUUCGCCCAAUGGCUAAACUUUCUCAGAAGCAUCAACAGCUUUGGGAAUCCCAAGUAGUAGUGUUUUGCUCACCUAAUCAGUUAUUUUAGUAUUUGCUUUUGCUCUUCUAACCAUUGUUAGUAACACUUUGGUUUAUCUGUUUCCAUAUGCAGUCAUUUGAGAAUGUUAUGCUAUGGAGAGUAAUUGGUCAGUUGCAAUCAGAAUUAGCUGAUUACAAGAGUCAAAUAUUAAAGCUUGAAGGUCAAAUUGCAUCUCUGAAACCGCCUGCGGAUGAGCCUUCUGCUCAAGCAGUUCAGACUGGCUUAUCCGGAGCAGCAUCAAAGAGGGGCAGACCUAAGAGGGCAGUUGCUUCAGUUGAUGUGUCUGCUUCUCCUGAUGAGUCUCAUCCUCAAGCAAGAGGUCAAAAGCCUGCAGCAAGUAAAGUUCAACCUGAGUCUAGAGUUCUUUUUUUUGAGAAAGUUGUUCUAAACAAGGUGGAAAAAACAGCUCACUCUAUUUCGAGUACCAAGAAAGAUAAUGAGAAGACCAUAACAAAUAAUAGUGUUAAUGGAAGCAAUUUGCCUAUGCCUGCAUUCCACAACCAAGCUCACCUGGAAGGUCCUGGCAUCCAAAUUUGUGGAAUCGAGACCAAUUCCUGUUUAGCUCAGCAACCUAAAGAAAACGGCAAGGGGAUUUCAGAUACGCACAUGGGAGGGACAAAUGGUGAAGUCCUUGCUUGGCCUGCAAGUUUUGUAUCUGAAGAGCCUCGGAGAAACAUAUAUAAUACGAUCUCUCAAAGUUUAUAUGACAAUGGCUGUUUGAUCAGAGAAGCAGGAAAACUCAUACCUGGAUGGAGUUUUGUGAAUGAAGAGGAUGCUUCAGAAGAGGUUGAAGAUGGUGUAAUGGCCUCAGCAAAGGAUGAAAAUGAAGAGGAAAUGAGAGAUGAUGUUAGCUCAGAAGCUGAAGAAAUUGCUCAAACAAAAGAUGAGAGUGCUUGCAAGAUGGAUUCUGCGGUAGGAAGUAACCCCAAGAAUUUGCCUCAAUAUAAUAACUGGUCUUAGGUUCCUGCUGUUUACAUGGAAAUUGGGUCAUCAAUUUCUUUGGUUUUGGCUUACAUGUAGAGAGAGAUUUGCCCUAAAUUUUGUAGGAGAGUGGGAUUUUAACCUGGGCAAAGUUAAUUAUAUUUUAUGACAUUGCUACUAACUUCAAUGAACUCUUGUUUCAUCGAAUGUUAUCAUCUUCUAUGUGUACAAUUCCUGAUUUACAAACCUCUCAAGCUAAUCCAAGCAUCAACAGGGCAUCAGUGAUCGUCCAAACUUCAUCACCAUCUUUAGGUGAUAAGCUCUCAUAAUUCAUAUAUUUUUGAACCCCGGCCCUAUUACUUUACUUCAUCACCAUCUUUAGCUACAGUGCCGUUCUUUCGAGCCGCAACGUCACUGUUUGUAUCAUGCGGGUCUGGUUACUGUUUUAAACCCAAGACGCAAGGUUAAAUUAAUCUUUUCUAGUAUUUAAGUCCAAGCAAGUUUGUAACCCUAAUUUUAAGUUAGAUAGUUUUUUUUUUUGGAUUGAAUAUAAUUCAAAUCUUGUGAGAUCGCUUCAAUGUAUAUUUCCAUUUACAGUUUCACAAUGAGAAUCGGAUUAUAUACAGUAGAAUGUAUAUAUAGAUGUGCGCACAAAUUCUGGGACAUUCGAAUUCUGUGAGAUUUCUUUCUCAUUAUUUUAUAAAUUUCAUAAUAAUUGGUUUUAUGUUUUGGUGUACUGUUGUAUGAUUUUUUGAAUUCAAAUUUUAAUUGCAUGAUUCAGGUAAAUAUUAUUUAUUGUUAUUUUUUAAAAUGAUUCAACUUUAUUUUGGAUUAUUUUAGAAAUUAUAUUAUUUUUUGACUUUUGACUACUAUGGAUAUAUUAAAUUUGAUUUUUUUAUACGUUUAUAUAUAUUUUUAAAUUAACUUAGUUGACACAAUAAAUUGUCAAAAUGUACUAUAUUGUUGAAAUUAUUUUAUUUGAAAAUAUAAAAAGUUGUGUAUAUGUAACUUAAGUCAUGUUAGUACUUGUCACCCAAAGGAAGACUGAUAUUUAAUAAAAUUACAUGUGCAAUUAUGGUAAUAAACAUGUGACGAUUAUUCGGUUUUACAUGUAAGUAAUAAAUUGACCUAAAUAAAGAUUUAUUGUUUAACAUAUUAUUAUUGUCAAUAUUUAAUUACUGCAACAAGAUAUCAAUUACAAGUUAAUAGUUUGUCCAAAGAUGAAAUAUUAAUGAAGUAUCGACAUCUUGAGAUGGGGUUUAUAUUUAUUUGAAUUUAUUAUUUUGGUUUAUAUUUGAACACUUACGUGAGCUUAUUUUAUUUGAUUCAUCUACUAUUAUACUUGUCAACAUCAUUGCAUGCAUUGAAACAUUUAGGGGCAUUGUUUUUUUCGAAGAUCAUUUUGAAUUUUUUAUAAUUUUUAAGAGGGGUCAAUUAGCUCAUUUUCAAAUUUUACAAGGACCCAAAAGAUAUUUAUACCAAUUUGUUAUUAAAAUUAUUAUAAUUGUUCGAGUUGUAAACUUCAACUUGACUCAAAUAUGACAAACCGAAAGGCUUAUUCAAUUUGAUUUGAAAAACUGAUUGAGUUGAGUUAAUCAAUUUGAUUAACUUGAAAUUCGAUUUAUAUUUUUUCAUUUUGAAAUGGUUUUUCUCACUUGAGACCUUGUUUAUUUGGGUUAUGCCCUGAUAAGUUUUUCUUAUUAUUAGUGAGCUCGGUUCAGUUUGGUUAGGUUUUUAAAAUUUUUUGAAAUGUUCAUAAUAAUUCGGUUCAAUUUGGUUCUUGAUUUUUCAUAUUAAUUUUGGAUUUCAGAUUUUUAGACUUUAUUUUUAUAAAAUGGACUUUGCUUUAUAGCAUUUGAACAUUAUUUGGUGAAGUUUCAAAAUUUUUUUCAUAAAUAUUUUUUCUUAAAAAAUUAAUUUUUCAAGUAAAUAAAAAAUAAUCAAUAAAUGUUACAUGGUAUUUUAAAAAAAUUUAAAUGUGAAAUAUUUAUUUACAUCAUAAAAAGCUUAAAAUUAAUUAUAAGUUAAAUAAAAAAUAGUAUUGAUUAGUAUAACUCUCAUAUUUAGAGUUGUUUUAGUAUAAUUUUUAUAGUAUUUUAGGAGAUAAUUUUAGCAUUUAAAUUAGUUUUUAGUGCAUUUUAUAGGUUUUUUUUGGAUUAAUUAUAUUUUAUUUAAUUUUUUUAUCAAUUUUAAAGUUAGUUCAGAUUUACGUAAUAUUUUCCUCUCUAGUUUCGAAUAAGAAUGAAAGGUUUGGAGUAUAGAGUAAAAAAAGUAGUGAAGAGAAGACUUCCACUCUAUCGAACUUCAGUUCGGUGGAGCACAAUCUUCAAUUCAGAAUUUUCAAAUAGAAAGCAAUCCGCUCCAUGUUAGUACAAAUCUCUAGUGAAAAUAGUUAGUACAAAUCUCCGGUGAGGAAAAUCUCAAGCACACGAACGGAACUCGAACAGGAAAAGAAGAAAUAGGACAAGGCUCCAAGGCGUGUAUGAAGCCACUAUCUUUAAGGUUAUAUUCGCCCCCACCUAUCUUUGGUGUGCAAAUGAGUUCCAAGCCAAUUAACCUCGAGGAUACAAUGAAGCCAAUGACUAUUUGCAUUUUGCACUCACGAUAAUAGUCCACUACGUACUGAGCAAUGUAUAACAAGAAACUCAACUUCUAUAAAAGGUUUCUGCAAUAAUACGUUAUAGAAUAAUCUAAUAAUAUUAGAAAAUGAAGGAAGGAAGAAAGAAUAUUAGAAUUUUUUGUUGUGAUUUCCAAAUGAAAUCUUAUUCCUAUUUAUAGGAAUUUUCAUGUCUCUUCAUAAAGACAUCUUUCAAUAGGUGUCUUUCUGAAUAAUAAUGUCUUUAAAAUAAACACAUAAUUAUUCAUUUAAUAUUAUAACUAUUCAAAUAAUAUUGUAACAGCCCGAUUUUGGGCCUAGUCGGAACAGUGGUUUCGGGACCACAAAUCUGACCAGGAAAAAUUUGUUUUUAUUAUAUUUUUAUGGCCUACAGUUUCACGGAAUGACUUCGUGAAAAUCUAGUUCGAAAAUUUCGAUGUUCGGGUACUCAAAUUAGUAAAAAGGACUAAAUCGUAAAAAGUACAAAACUUGAGUUCUAGAAGCUAGAAGUAUUAAAUAGCUAUAGAAUUUUUAGUAGAAAUCCUUAUGUGAUAAUUAGCCCAUUAAUAAGUUAGUGGAAGAUAUUUGUUUGGUAUUUUUGAAAUUUGUUUGAAAAGAAAAGGGCAAAUUGGUAAUUAAGUUAAUAAAGGCAUAAUAAGACAAAAAUUUAAAAGCUAUCAUCUUUUCUUUUUUCUUCUUCAACUGUUUAUGAAGAAAAUGGGCAGCCAUGGAUGAGUAAACAUUCAGCCAAGCUUCUAUGGCUCAUCUAGGUAUGGUUUUUGUCUCGUUUUUAAUUAUUUCUAUAUUUUUGGAGUCGUGGUAACUCAAUUUAGCUAUCUCGUACCUUCAUUUUCAAAACUGUUAAGGUUUGUAAAUUUUUCUAUUGAUGAAUAUAUGUGUAUUUUGAUGCUUGAUGAUGGAAAAUGCAUCCUUGUUGUUAAAUAAAUGACUGUUACUAAGUGAUUUUCGGUAAAAACGUCUGAAACGACUAUUUUGUAAAAGUUGUAAAAAUGGCAUAAAAUGUAUUUUGAUGAGAAUUGUAGUUUCCUAUAGUUAUGAAAAUGGUUCGCCUAGGCUUAAAGUACAAAGAAAUUGAGUGCAUUUUAUUUUACGACCCUAGGGGCAAAAUGUUAUUAUGACAAAGUUUAGGGGUAAAAAUAUAAUUUUUCCAAAAUAUGAUUUUUGGAUCACAUUAAAUAAUAUGAGUAAUAAUUAGACUAAAUGUGAUAUUUUAGAUCAAGAAAAAUAAGAUUCGGACUUAAAACGAGGAAAAUCAAAUAAUAUAACAGUUAUGUCCAAUUGCCGAUUUUGUGUCAAGGUAAGUUUGUGUGAUUAUAAUAAUGCAAUGUUAUAAUUAAAUAUUAAAUGCUUUAUUGUUAUUAUUAUAUAAAUUGUAUGAUUGAUUAUACGGAUAUUCUUGAUGAAGAUUCGACAAGUACAUAAGUAAAUAAUGUGAUGUUGUAGCAUAUUUUAAUGCUAUGAUAAUAUAUGCAUUUAAAUGUUUUAUUACUAUCAUGAAAGUAUGAAAUGUAUGAUAGAAGAAUAAAUGACAUUAUGAGCAAGUGCGACAACAUUGAGCUAGACAAGAAAUCCCAUUUGAACAUCAGAAAUAGUAUAAGAUACAAAAGGUAAGUCAUGAGAAAUUAAGUGGUCUAAGCUCAUGAGUUGAGUCUAAGUUAAUGAGAUAAGUGAUAUAUGUAAUGUGGGUUCGGGUACUGACUUUGUGUAUAAACCCGUGAGUAACUCGCUGAGCGAGCAUAUCAUAUUAAUGCUUUGAGGUCCGGGUACUGACUUUGUGCAUAAACCCUUGAGUAGCUCAAUGAGCGGGCAUUACAUGAUAAUGCUUUGGGGUCCGAGUGCUGACUUUGUGUACAGACCCGUGAGUAGCUCAAUUGUGGGCAUUACAAAAUAUGUGGUAGCUUUAGCUACAUACGUUACGCGCUAUGAGUUGGUUCUAACUGCGUAUAUGGCACUAUGUGCAAGUUUCCGUGUAUCCAUUAGUAUUCUGAGUGUUCAACGGGUAAUUCAAGGAAGGAUUUGAUGAUGGUCCCAAUGAGGUAUGUCAUUGAUGAGACCGAACUUGAGCUAUGUUACGAAUGAGUGCAAGUAUGUAUAGAAACUCAAUUGAAUACGAAAUCCAUGAAUGGUAAGUCCAUGAGUAUUGUGAAAUGAUGUUGUAUUAAUUUGGUGGACUAUGAUAUAUGUUUAUAAAUGCAUAGAUUUCUAAUUUAAAAGAAAUGAAGGUGUGAUGAACUUAGUUAUCAUCAUUUUUGUACUAAAACUGUUUUGGACAGCAGCUGUAAUCCAACUUUGAAAAUUCACCAAAAAUUGUGGAAAUUGAAUUUAAGGUUGAAUAAAAUAUGAAAUUAAAGCUUAUUGAGUCUAGUUUCACAUAGAAGAAAUGGUGUAAGAAAAAGAAUAUCAGAUUAUGAGAUAUUUUAAUUUUUGUGAGACAGAGUCAGAAUGUUUUCGGCAUCCCCUGUUCUGAUUUGGGAAAAUCAUAAAAAAUUGUAAAAAAUAAUUAUGGGUUAUAAUUUAUAUGAUUACCUUAAUGAGUCUAGUUUCAAAAGAAACAAAUGGGAACAUCAUUUGGAUCUUGUAUGAUGAGUUAAUUAAUUUUUAGGUAAAGAUGGGUCGAAACUGUCAAAUAGCAUAACAGGGGUAAAUUUGAAGAAUAAACUGUACUAAUUGGCUAAACCAAAAAUUCUGAAAAUUUUAUGGUAGGGAGAUAUGUGAGUCUAGUUUCAGGAAAAAUUUGUAGAACUUAAUUUGGAGUUUUGUAGCUUAAGAUAUAAAUAAUUUAGUGACUGCGACUUGAGUAGACAACUUAACUGGAAUUUGAGCAAAUAGUGGAAUAAUAUGCAAAUAUGAUUGUGAUACCUUGAGAACAUGUUAUAAGAAUUUGGCAAAAGCAUGUAAAUAAAUUUCUUAUUAUUUUCAUAUGAACUUACUUAGCUUUUAAGCUUACCCCCUUCCUUUCCAUCUCUUAUAGGUUUAUUUAGCUAGCUCAGGUUGGAAAUCACCGGAGAUGCUAUCACACUAUCAAGCUACCAUCUGGGGCAUAAGUAUUCAAGUACUCGAGUUUAUGGAAUGCAUAGGAAUUAUGUCUUUUGUUAUAUUAUUCAUUACUAUUAGGGCCAAGUGUGUUGGCCUAUAAUGAGUUGUGAUUCAAUUUGAACAUGCAUAUCCAUAAAUGAUGGCUUAUGAUAAUCAUAUGCUUAAUCAUAUGUAAAUGACAUGUUAUUGCAUGAAUGUGGUUAGUUUAAAUUGCAUUUAUAUGCUUGAUAAUGUACCAUUGGAUGUGAUAUGAAAUUGUGCAAGUAAGGGUGACAAAAUGGCUUGGAAAAUAGCCUUGCAAUCGUCCACACGGGUAGACCCACGGGCGUGUGUCUAGGCCGUGUGUGACGCACAAUCCGCUCCUACGGGUAUGUGUCUUGGUCGUGUGCCCCUGAAUGAAUGAUGAUGUCAUAAACAGAGAGUUACAUAGGCUGGGGACACUGGUGUAUCCCAAGCCACAUGGGCGUGUGUAACCACACAGCCUACUCCACUCGGGCGUAUGACUCUCUAAAAAUGGAAAAUUUCAUAAGUGUUGUAAAAUUUCUGAAAAUUCUCGGUUUAGUACCAAAUCAUCUUUGAUGUAUGUUUUGUGCCUCAUAGGCCCGUAUAAGGGACGAUAUACAUGUGUAUGAAUGAUUUUAAAUUGAAUGGAAUUUUAUGGCUCAAUUUUGUAUGAAUGUUUAUGUUUAAGUCUGGUAAUGCCUCGAACCCUAUCCCGGCAUCGGACGCGGAUAAGAGGUGUUACAAAUAUUAUUUAAAUAAUUAUAAUUUUUUUCAAAAAAUCAAAUAAUAUAACUUUUGAUUAAUUACACCCAUUCAUUUAUAGUUAUUGGAACACUAUAAAUAUUUGAAAUUGUUCCAACAAUCUCCCCCCAUUUUCAAAAUAUUUUAGAUUUUGAUAUUCCUGGAAAUCCAUUUGCAUAAAUGAAGGUAUCUUACGAUUGAACCUUCAAUUAGUGAAAUUAUGUUAAAUUUAAUCAAAAUUGCAUGGUAGACUAAUCUUUGAACCAACUAUUCCAUUUGACUAACCGAACACAUCUCACACAAUGAUUUCAACAUCGGUCAAUCCAUAGUAUCUAGGGACACUAUUAUGGCCAUGUGUCUGUGUCCUCUUUUCAUAAGUGCUAUCAGAGCGAAGCCCUAGAGCUCCUAGAAGCAGCCAUACUUCCACUCACAUAGGUAGAUCCUAUCAAGAGUGUUCCCGUAAUUAUAACACUCUAACAUGUUUAUAUUAUGGGUCCAUUAAGAGUACAUUACUUAUUCUUCCCUUAUCAUUAUGGGUACCUAGUAUUUUAAUCUUAGGAUGAAUUUAUUUAUAGUGCUAACAGUCACAUACUAAUAAUGUACUCAUUGAACUCAAGACUUGACGUUAUACCAAGUGUUGAGUCAAUUUUUCGUCAUGGGUGACUUUAAUUAAUAGGCUUGAGUCCCAUCCCUUUUGAGGUCCUUUUUACAGCAUCUCUAGUAAGACUGUUUGUCAAAGGAUUCGCCAACCUCACAUAAUUAAUACUGAUCACUCCAUCAGAGAUUAAUUAUCGGACAUAGCUAUGUCUUAAUCUAAUGUGUCUAGACUUUCCAUUAUAUACUUGGCUAUAUGCCUUUGCUAGGGUAGCCUCAUUAUCACAACGGAUAGAAAUAGGUGAAAUUGGCUUGGACCAUAAAGGUACAUCGUAAAGCAAAUUUCUUAACCAUUCUGCUUCUUUAGAUGCAGUGGCUAAUGCAAUAAAUUCUGCCGCCAUGGUGGAAUCAAUAAUACAUGUUUGUUUCUUGAAACCCUAAAAAAUGGCUCUUCCACCAAGAAUGAAAAUCCAUCCACUAGUAGAUGCAUGAUCUUCCAAACUAGUAAUCCAACUAGCAUCUGAAUACCCUUCUAAAACUAAAGGAUAUCCAUUAUAACACAAUCCAUAGUUAAUAGUUUUCUUUAAGUACCUAAAUACUCUAUUCAAAGCUUGUCAAUGCAAACUACUUGGAUUACUUGUGUACCUACUCAAUUUCCCAAUAGCAUAUGCAAUAUUUGGUCUUGUACAAGUCAUUAUGUAUAUAAGACAACCAAUUAGACUUGCAUAUUUCAAUUGAUCAAUUUUCCUACCAACAUUAGAUACUAAUUUUAUUUGAGGAUCCAUGGGUGUAGAUGCUGGUAUACAGUUGAAAAGAUCAAACUUUUUAAGCACUUUUUCAAUAUAAUGUGAUUGUGAUAAAGCUAUAGUGCUUUCAUCUCGGGUUAUUUUAAUCCGAAGAAUAGCAUCUGCUACACCCAUAUCCUUCAUAGUAAAAUUGUUUGAUAAUAAUUUCUUUGUGUUUUCUAUUUGUUCCAAAUCUGUGUAAAAAAUGAGCAUGUCAUCUACAUAUAAGCAAAUUAUGACACCUUUUCCAUUUUCAAAUUUGCUAUAUAUGCACUUAUCGGAUUCAUUUAUUUUAUAGCCAUUAGCUAAAACAACCUUGUCAAACUUUUGGUGCCAUUUUUUUGGUGCUUGUUUAAGUCAAUAUAAAGAUUUAACAAGCUUACAUACUUUAUGUUGCUCCUGUCCUGGAAAACAAAUCCUUUCGGUUGUUCCAUGUACACUUCCUCUUCCAAUUCACCAUUUAAAAAUGCAGUUUUUACAUCCAUUUGGUGAACAACCAAAUUAUAUAUAAAGGUAAGUGAUAUUAAGAGUCUAAUUGUAGCAAUUCUUACUACUGGAGCAUAGGUAUCAAAGUAAUCAAUACCUUAUUUUUGUGUAAAACCUUUGGCUACCAACCUUGUUUUAAAUUUAUCAAUGGUUCCAUUGACCUUCAUUUUCUUUUUGAAGAUCCAUUUACAACCUAUUGGUUUGGAACUCGAUGGAAGAUCAACUAAGAUUCAAGUUUGAUUUCCUAUUAUUGAAUCCAUCUCAUCAUUUAUUGCUUCUUUCCAAAAAGCAGAGUCUUGAGAUUUCAUUACCUCUUCAAAUGUAAUAGGAUCAAAUUUCGUAUUAUAACAAUAAGGCAUCUUAUUGCAUAUACUUUCACCUUUUCCUUCUAUAAGAAACAUAAUGAAAUCUGGUCCAAAAUCUUUGACCUUUUUAAUCCUCUUACUUCUUCUUAAUUCUUGACAAGAUUCAUCAUAAUUAUCAAUUUGUUCUAAUGGAAUCUCAUUCUAAUUUGAAGAAUGAAUCAAUUGUUGUGGUUGUAAUUGUCUUGAAAUAGAAUUAAAUCUAUUUUCAUAAAAAAUAGCAUCUCUUGAUUCAAUAACAAUAUUAAUUGAAAUUGAAUUAAUUGGUUCAAUUACCAUGAACCUUUAUGCCUUGCUAUUAUGUGCAUAUCCUAUAAAUAUGCAUUCAAUUCCUCUUUCACCUAACUUUUUAUGUUUUGGUGUUGGAAAUUUGAUAAUAUCUCUACAACCCUAAACCUUUAAAUAAUUAAGGUUUGAUUUCCUUUUCUUCCAUUUUUCAUAGGGGUUUUUUUUAGUUUCCUUAUUAGGAACUCUAUUCGAUAUAUGACAAGUUGUUAGAGCAUCUUCUCCCCAAAAACCUUGUCCAAGACCUGAAUAUGAUAACAUUGAAUUUACCAUUUCAGUCAAGACUCUAUUUUUCCUUCUAGCUACACCAUUUUUUUGUAGUGUGUGAGGGGUUGAAACUUGAUGGACAAUUCUAGUGGAUUCAAAAUAACUUGGAUUAUAGUAUUCUCCACCUCUAUCCGAUCUUAAGCACUUGAUAAAUGAUUCACAUUGAAGUUCAACUUCAGAUUUAUAAACUUUAAAUUUAUCAAGCGCUUCAUCUUUUGAAUGCAAUAAAUAUACAUAACAAUAUUUAGAACAAUCAUCAAUAAAAGUAACAAAAUAUUUCUUUCCACCUAAUGUAGGAGUAUUAUGCAUGUCACAUAAAUCACUAUGUAUCAAAUCAAGCAAUUUGGUUUUCCUUUUAACCUUAGGGAAAAGGUUUCUUGUAAUUUUAGUCAACAAACAUGUAUUGCAUUUUUCAAUAUUAUUAUUAAAAUAGGAAUUAAAUCUAACUUAUACAUGUCAUUCAAUUUUCUAUAAUUCAAAUGACCUAAUCUAUAAUGCCAUAAACAAAAGGAUUCAACCAUAUAAGCAGAAAUAGUAUUUUUAUUCUUAUUAAUAAUAUUGAGUUUGAACAUACUCUCGUACAUAUACGUUUUCCCUACAAAAAUUCCUCCUUUAGAUGAAAUAAACUUAUCUACCUCAAAAACAAGUUUGAAACCAAACUUAUUCAACAGACUUCCAGACAAAUUUCUUCCUAACUUCUGGUACAUAAUAUACAUCAUUUAAGGUUAAAAUCUUUCCAGAAGUAAAUUGCAGUUUAAUAGACCCAUUGCCUUUGAUUGCUGCUGUGGAAGAAUUUCACAUGUACAAGACAUUGUCAUUUUCACAUUGUGUGAACUUUGUGAACAUGCUUUUGUUUUUGCUUACAUGUUUGGUUGCUCCGAUAUUAAUCCACCAUGUAUUAUCAUCUUGUGCCAUAUUAAUUUCAGAUAUCAUUACAACAAACUUUUCGUUAUUAUUAGCCUUAGAAGAUGAUUUCUUCUUUAAAAAUUGACAUUCAUUCCUGAAAUGUCUCGGCUUACCACAAUAAUAGCAUGAGCAUUUUUGUUUCUUUUUUAACUUAGGUGUUGUAUCAGUCUGUUUGAACUUUCUCUUGAAUAGUUUAGUAGUCUGUACUUCCUCCGUAACAUGCACUUUGACAUUUUUAGAAUUUAGGUUCUAAUCUUGCUUUUGAUAUUCUUUUUCAACACGAAGAUGAUUUGCCAAAGCCUCAAGAGAUAUUUCCUCUUUUUUUUGUUUUAGACUUCUUUUAAAGUCUUUCCAAGAUGGAGGAAGUUUGUCUAUUAUGGAGGAUACAACAAUCAUUUCAUCCAUUUUCAUAUCAUAUUGCUUGAAUUGAUUCAACAUCUUUUCAAUAUCAUGAAAUUGUUCCAUAACAGAACGACCAUCAACCAUUUCAUAAUUAUUGAAACGACUGACAAAAAAUUUAUUACUUGUAACAUCUUCAGUCAUGUAUCUUGUCUCCAAUUUAUCCCAUAAUUCUUUAGCGGUGACCUCAUUUCGGUAGUUGUCGAACAAAACAUCAGAGAAACCAUUCAAUAUGUGACCUGUGCACAUGUAAUCAACAUUGUCCCAUUUUUGCCUUUCACGAGUUGCAGCAAUAGAUUCGUUUUCAUUCUCUUCAGGUCUUGGAGUAUCCAAAACAUAAGCAAUCUUCAAAGUUGAUAAUAAGAAGUGCAUCUUUUUUUGCCAUCGUCAAAAACUGCUACCAUUAAACCGAUCAAGUUUAACAAAGUUGGAAGCCAACUCCCUUAGUGUUCCACUUUCAUGUGUUGUGGUAGUCAUCAUGAAUUAUAACCUUAAAAUUGUUAGUACAAAUCUUCGGUGAAAACUGUUAGUACAAAUCUCUGGUGAGGAAAAUCUCGAACAUACGAAUGAAACUCGAACAGAAAAAGAAGAAAUAGAACAAGGCUCCAAGGUGUGUAUUAAGCCACUAUCUUUAAGGUUAUAAUCGCCCCUAUCUAUCUUCAGUGUACAAAUGAGUUCCAAGCAAAUUAACCGCGAGGAUACAAUGAAGCCAAUGACUAUUUGCAUUUUGCACUAACGAUAAUAGUCCACUACGUAUUGAGCAUUGUAUAAUAAGAAACUCAAUUUCUACAAAGGAUUUCUGUAGUAAUACUUUAUAGAAUAAUAUUAGAAAAUGAUGGAAGGAAAGAAAGAAUAUUAGAAUUUUUUGGUGUGAUUUCCAAAUGAAAUCACAUUCCUAUUUAUAGGAAUUUUCAUGUCUCUUCAUAGAGACAUCUUUCAAUAGGUGUCUUUCUAAAUAAUAAUGUCUUUAAAAUAAACACAUAAUUAUUCAUUUAAUAUUAUAACUAUUCAAAUAAUAUUAUUUAAAUAGUUAUAAUUUUUUUUUCAAAAAAUCAAAUAAUAUAACUUUUGAUUAAUUACACCCAUUAAUUUAUAGUUAUUGAAACACUAUACAUAUUUGAAAACGUUCCAACACUCCACCCUAAUUUUGUCUUUGGUGGAGCAGAACGAUUAAAACCCUAAAAAUAAGGGGUGACUCAAGAGAAAAAAAGGGGAAGAGAGAAAAAGAAUCAACUUGGAGGUUAAGAAACAAUUCUCUCACACCAAGGGGAACUUCGAGCUUGUAAAGAGAAGAAGAAAAAGAGAUCUGGAGCGCUCAACAUCUAUUCGAUAAUUAUUUUUGUCUAGAUUGUUUCCUUCUAGUUUUUUAUCAAUAUAAGUCUUUUUUGAAUCUCUUAUUGUGUUGUUUUCUCAAAUCAACAUGAAAUAAACUUUGUUUUCUUGGAAUGAUAAUGAAUCAUGUUUCUUACUUAAUUAUUAUGUUCUCUCUAAUUGUUUCAAUUGGUGUUAAUUAUAUAUUCAGUCCUAUGCUUAUUUAAUUUGCUUGCCUGAUCAUCGAGUUGCAUUAAUUUAAUAAUCUUGAUUUGUCUUGGAAGAGAAAAUUAAGGUUUAGGUUUAGAUUGAAUAAAUCAGGAUUAACUUUAGUAGUAUCGAUAAAUGAAUUAAUUUGUGUAAUAGCCCAAAAUUGGGUCUAGUUGGAACAGAGGUUUCGGGACUGCAAAAUCUGAGAUAGAAAUAAUUAUUUUAUGAUUUUUUUUAGGUCUAUGAUAUGAUUGCAUGAUUGUGUAAAAAUUUCGUGAAGAAAUUCUAUGCAUAAAGUGCUCAAUUUGAAGUUAGGGACUAAAUUGAAUAAGUUGCAAAACUUGCAUUCUAGAAGUUUCUAGUAUGAAAUUGCUUUGAAACAUUAAUUAGGAGGUCUUAAAUAGAAAUUUUACCAAUUUUUAAGUGAUGGACAAAAAUUGGACAUGGAUGGAAUUUUUGAAAGUUUAGUAAGGAAGGGCAUUUUGGUCAUUUGGUAAUUAAAAGAAAUAAAAAGGGAAAAUAAAGCCAAAAUUGACUCAUCUUUUUCAUGGAGGCCGAAAUUAGCAUGGGGGAAGCCAUGGCUAGGGUUUUCAAGCUUUACAAGCUCAAUAGUAAGUCCGUUCUAACCCCGUUUUUCAAGUUCUUUACGUUUUUGGAAUCCCGGUAAUUUGAUUAAGCUUAUUCUAGCAAUAAUUUAAGCUAGGGUUCAUAUUUGGAAAAAUACCCAUAGGUGAAAUGUGUUUAUUUUGCUGUUUUAUGAUAGAAUAUGAGGUUUUAAUUUAUGUUAGACAACUUGUGCUACUCGGUUUUGAGUGAAAACGAGUAAAAGGGCUUAAUCGGUAAAAAUAUCUAAUAGUCAUAAGUAUAUGUUAGAGUGAGAAUUUGAUGUUGCCAUAGAAGGGAAAAGUGAUCAGCAUGUCAUAAAACAUAAGAAUAAGGGAUGAAGUUUAAUUCUCGAGCCUAGGGGAAAAAGUGUAAAUAUGCAAAAGUUUAGGGGCAAAAUUAUAAUUUUGCAAAAGUUUGAGUUAAGGACUGUUUUGAAUAGUUCAUUAAUUAAGUAUAUAAAAUAUGAUGUCUUAGAUCCCGGAAAACGAGAUUUGAACCUAGAAUGAAAGAAAAAUCAAAAAUUGGGAAAGUUGGUAAAAUGGUCGUUUUAGCAUCGAGGUAAGUUCAUAUGUAUAAUAAGCAUUAAUUUAUGCAUGUUUCAAUGUAAAAUUGAUAUAUUUAUUAUGAUUUCCGAGGUGUUGAAAGUAUGUAAGUUGGUAUGAUAAUAAUACAGUAAUAAUGUUGUAAUUUGUAUUUGAAAGUUAAAUUUAGUGAAUUAAUUGAAUUAUGUUAAAUUAAAUUAUUAUGGUGCCAAGUUUAUGAAUUGAUUUAAAAAUAUGUCUAUGGUACAUGAAUUGCAUUGAAUUAUCAUACAUAAAUGUGAUUUCUAUGAUUAUGGAUAUUAUGGGAAAUUGUAAGUUCAUAUGAUUUUUAAUAAGGCAAUGUGUAAUUUAAUGUUAUUUCCUUGAUAUUAAAUGAGAUGUAAGUUUAUAUGUAAGUAAUACAUCAAUAUUACUUGUAUUAUGAUAUUUUAUAAUAAUAUUGGAAAUAUGUUUGUGGAUAAUUACUUGAUUGGUGAAAUUGUUGGAAAAGAGAGAGAAAUCCCGGUUGAACCUUCAGAAAGAUUGGAUGAUACAGAUAGUAUGUAGCUAGGUCACAUGUAUGGUGCUGAGUGCACAUCAUGUGUACAAGAGAGCUACAAGACAUUAUGAUGUAGCUAGGUCGCAUGGGUGAUACUAUGUGUACACCAUGUAGACAAGAGAGCUACGGGAUAUAUGUAGCUAGGUCGCAUGCGUGGUUCUAGGUGAAGGACACCAUGUAGACAAGAGAGCUACGAGAUAAAUUGGCUAGGUCACAUGGGUGGUACUAAGUGUUCACCAUGUGUACAAGAGAGCCAAACUAUAUGAUGGGUGGAGCUAUGUGCUGAAACCACCAAGUAUCGAGGAUUGAUCCGAAGUGUUCAACGGGAGACUCUCUAUGUAUUGCUUUGUGAGUUUUGUGUUGAAUAAGUGCAGGAACUUGGUUAUGUGAAUGAUGUGUUCAUUAAGUGACUAGGAGGUGGUAAUGUUAUAAAAAAGUAAGUUAUACAUGAAGAUGAUUUUAUGGUGACCUUGUGAUCAUGGGCCUAUACUUGUGAUGUAUGAAAUGUUGUGAAAAUGAUUUGUGAUAUGUAUGUUAAAAUGAGGUAAAUACAAAGAAAGUGUGAAAGAGUGAAUUAGCAAUAAAACUGUUUUGGACGGUACCAGUGAUGUGAUUUUGAAAAAUCACCAAAAAUAGUAGAAAUUGAAUCAGAGAGUUAAUGAGAUAUAAAAUUAAAUAUUAAUGAGUCUAUUUUCAGAUAAAAGAAACAGAGCAAGAAAAGAAGUUCUAUAUUUUGAGAUAUUUAUGUUUUUGUGAGACUGGUUCAGAAUGAUUAGGUGAUCCCCUGUUCUGGAUUUGGAAAAUCAAAACAAUUUGGAUAAAAAUAAUUAGAGGAUUAAAAUUAUAUUUUUAAAAUCCAUAAUGAGUCUAUUUUCAAGAUAAAUCAACAAGAACAUUAUCCGAGUUCUGUACUGUGAGAUAAUUAUUUUUUAGUGAAGAGAGGUCAGAAUUGUCAAAAAGUGAAAUAGGAGAAAUUUUAAUGAAUAAACUGUACUAAUUGGCUAAACCAAAAAUUAUGAAGAUUUUAUGGUGGAAAGAUAUGUGAGUCUAGUUUCAGGAGAAAUUUACAGAUCUUAAUUUGGAGCUCUGUAGCUCGAAUUAUAAAUAAGUAAGUGACUAUGACUCAUGUGGACAGUUUGAUGUGAGAAUUUAUUAGUAAAUUAUGAAAUCGUACUUACAAGGAUGCUAUAUACAUUAAGGAUGUGGAAUGGAGAGAAGGAGGAGGAAAAUAAAUAUAUGUGGAAUACAUGGAAACUAUGGUAUAUGAAAUAUUGAUAUAAUGAAAUAAAUGAUAUGUGUUUAUAAGAAAAUAGAAAGAGAAUGAUAUGUAUCAUGACAUGUAUAUUUAUAUAUGACUAGUCUCAAUGUAAUGCUUGUUGGGUAUGGAGUUGAAUUGAAAUGUUUCAGGCAAACAUGUUAUUUUGUGCAUCUGAAUUGUGGUAUUUUAUAAAGAUAUGAUCUAGUUUUAAAUAUGAAUGCUUGAUGAUUAAGCUGAAGAUAUUUGGUAAGAUGAUAAUCUUGGUAUAAAUGUAUAGUGGUACUAUAAUAAACAAGGUAAAAUGAGUAUGAGAGACACAUGUAUGAUGACAUACAAAUUCUAUGUUUGUGAUUUAAUUGAGAAUAUUUAAUCAUUAAAUGAAUACCAUAUUAUAUGCUUUUGAUUUUGUAUAAGUGUGUAAGAGAUUAAGGUUGACCAAAGCUUGGAAAAUAGCCUAGGUAUAUUCCACACAGGCAGAAACACGACCAUGUGUCUCAGCCGUGUAUGGAACACGACUUUGGGACACGGGCGUGUGGAGCCUUAAAGCAUGAAAUUUUCAAGAUUUUCGUAAGUUCUCGGUUUAGUCCCGAACCCUUUCUAAAGUAUGUUUUGGGCUUCGUAGACUCAAAUAAGAGACUAUGUGUAAGUGAAUGAACAUUUUGAAAUAUGAAUGAAAUUUUAUGGCCCGUAUUUUAGUUUAAUGUUUGUAUAUUUGUCCGGUAAAGCUUCGUACCUUAUCCCGGUCUUGGGUACGAGUAAGGGGUGUUACAAUUUGUGGUUAGGAUAUGAGUAUACUUGAUGCUCUAAUCAAUCCUAUAGGUCUGAUUGUAGUGACUUCACCCAACUUACGUAGCAUAAGAAUAUAGCUAGGGAUGGGGGAUUAACUUAGUUAGAUACUAGAAAGGUUUGGUUAAUGCCAUUGAAUCCUAGGUUAGUAAUUACAUAGAUUGAACAAUUGAGAGAGAGAUAAUUAAUUGACUAGAAUAUAUGAAGUUAAAGUUCCAAGAUCAUUAAAAUUGAUUGAGAAACUUAUAGAUUUUCAUUCUUUUAGUUUAACAGAAUUUUCAUAAUUUUUUAGUUUAAUUUUAGUAAUAAUUAAAAUUAAUUUUUUUGUUCAGAUUAGAUAAAAUUAAAUAAUUGGUGAUUAACAAUUUAGAAUUUUCUUCUCGUCGGAACAAUUUUUUUUAUCAUUUUAUUACUUCAUUUGGCAUGUAUACUUACAUAAUGAAAUUUCGCACAUCAAUUAAGUUUAAAUAACUGUAAAUUUUAACUUAUAUUUCAAAAUUAUUCAAAUAUUAUGAUUGGGAAUAAAUUUUUUAAUUUUUUUUCUUAGCCCUAUUUUUUACAUUUAUAUCAAUAUUAUUUACAAAUAAAUAUAAAAUAUUUUUUAUUAUCUAAUUCGAAUGACAAAUUGUCCAUGAUCCAACCCAUAUAUCAAGUUAAAACACAAAAAGGAUUGUGAGCUGUGAAAUUGAAAGUUGUUCCUAGCAACCCCAUAACCUCCCCACCCAAAAUUAUAUAUAGAAAAAUGAUUAUGUUAGGAUAAGAAAAAAAAAAUUGAGUUUGGGCCUAAGAUAUGCAAAUUAAUUGCUGAGAUUCAAACCUAUUAUUAAUUUUUUUUAAAAAUAAUUAUAUAAAAUAAAAGAAUUAAACUCCAACCUAAAUAGUUUUUUUAAAGAAAAACUUAAGACAUAUAACCUAAAUUUAACGAUGGCAUUUCUAAAUCAUUUACUUUCAUGAAUAGGGUGAAAUUUAUUGAAUUGAAUUAACUUAAAUUGUUAAUUUUUGUAAUUUAAAAGAUUAGUUUGCUGCGAUGUAUGUUUGAAUAGGAUCCAAUCAUUUUUGGGUUGAGACUUGAGACUAAUGUUGAGUUAUGUUAUUCUGAAUCACAUUAUUUCAAAUUCAAUAGCUUAAAUUAUGAUUGUUUUAGUGAAGACUGUAGAAACAGAAAUAUGUAGAGGUGAUUAUUACGGGAAUUACAGAUUUCAAAUUUUAAAUUAACUAUUAAAUCAUAUUGGACUAAAUUUAAGACUUAAUUCAUUAAUUAUUAAGAAUGUGAAGCAAGUUGUUUUUAAAAUAAAAAUUUAGGAGAUUUAAGUUUACUAAGAACCUUUUUAUUUCAUUAGAAGUUUGGCUAAUAGAGAAAAAUGGUCGGAUUCAAUAAAAUAUCAUUUAGAGUUUGUUUGUUUUUUAAAAAGUUGUUUCAACUCAAGAUUGUUGUUGGUGGGAGGGUUUAUGAAGAGAGUUGAUUAAAAUGGUUUGUUGAAUUAAUUGAAGUUUUUACUUCUAAAGGCUCAAUACUUUGUCUUGUUCAAUUGAGAAUUAUACAAUGAUUCUUUCAAAGCAAAUCAGCAGGUUACUUACCUUGGUCAAUUCAAACCUUGAGUAUUUCUAGCUGAAAUACAACAACGUUUCAAGUUGUCCUAACUCAAGUAGAAGCUUAAAACUUUGUUACAGUCCAACUUCACCAUCAAUAUCAUUGUUAGAUAAGUUUAGAGUUUAGGUUAUUAAUUAAUAAUUUGACUUACAUUUGAAAGAAAAGAAAACCUAUUAGGUUAUUAAUAAUUUAUUUACGUUUAUUUUUAUAAUAAACCCAAAAUUGGGUCCAUUUUUAGUAAUAAGAUAAAAUCAUACCUAGGAUUCCAAGAGUAAACAAAGAAAUUGAACGAGGCAAACCUUUAGAUUCUAUAUACCAUAUUAUUUGUUUUAUAUAAACCACCCCAUUUCUUCCUAAACUACUCCUCCCAUCUACAAAAGCCAAACAAUAAAACCCAUGCCAUAUGCCACAUGCCAACUUUCUACACUUCCCGAAUCUCAUGUCCAGUCCAUGCCUCUUUCAUGGAACAAUAUAUCCACGCUAAGGGAAACUAACUCAAUUUUAGAUUCUUCUUUUAAUACUUAAAGCUGAUUGUUACCAUUAUAUCAUUUUCAGAGAAAUAAAUCUAUAUCAUUUAUAUUUAUUUAAUCCGAUGUAUCAUAUAGUAAGCAACGCAUAUUGUUUGAUAGUUACUUCAUUUUUUAUUUAAUAUAAAGUUUUUUAAAAAAUGUUAGAAUAAAAUAAAUAGGUAGGUAGCUACUUAUCACUACUGGAACAUUUUUAAAAUAUUAUAAAUGUUCUAAUAGUUAUAAUUGAAAGGUUACAAGUUAUCCAAAAGUUAUGUCACUUGGUUAUUAACCAAAAGUUGCUACUAUUCAUAGUGGUGAGUUAUGUUUCUCAUUACCAAAAGUUAUGUCACUUAAUCAUUAAUAAAGAAUCAUAAUUAGUCAAGUAGAUAUCUAUUGAAUAAUUAUAUUUGUUGUUAAAAGACGUGACUAUACAUUUGGAUAGUUAUAUCUCUAUGAAGAGACAUAGAACUAUAAUUAGGAGUCAAAUUUCAUUUUGUUUGGUAUACCAAAAACACAUCAAAAGUUUCUUUCUGUUCUCCUCCAUCUUCUAAUAUUUCUAGAUUGUUCUAUAAAGAAUUACUUCAAAAGUUAUUUAUAGAAAAGAUACUCUUGCUAUGCUCCUGUCACACUUGAUUUUCCUUAAGUUUGGAAUUUAGGAAUAAUUGAGAGAUAAAUUGGAAGAAACUAUAAGUUGGAAGCUUCUACUGUAAAAUCAAGAAAGCUUAGUGGUUGAUGUAGACAUAGUUAAGUUCCAAUUCUCGUUCAAUUCGAUGAGAACCAACUGGUUCGUUAGUGAGAGACAAAAUGAUUACUAAUGGAUGAUUUUAUAGGGUUGAUAACCGAUGCGUAAAGGGCUAUAAAUAACUGAGAAAUGAAUUCCUAGGGUGAGUUCUUCUUAAUUCUGUUUUAUUUUAUUUCUUCUUCAUCUUCUUCUUUGGUUUCUCUGAAAAGAGAUAAUUAAGGGGAUCUUUGCAUGGAGUAGUGAUCAAGAGAUUUGAGUUGUAAAAGUAGAGAAUCCGAUGAACUGGUAAGUUCUAAGUCCUUCGAUGUUAGUAGGAUUAAGAAAUAAAGUUAUGAAUUUUUAGAACCUCUAAAAGGUUCUGCAUGUUUCUGGAAACUGAGUUUUUAAGCUGAAAUUGGUAAAUUUAUUCUAUGAAUUUGGUUGUCAAGCUUAGUUGAUAGGAGAAUGGAAGCUUUAGCAUUCGGAAAAGCUAAGCUGAAGAAGUAAAGAAGCAUUGGGUGAGUUUCUGUACUCUAUUCUUAGGAUGUUGUGUGGUUGGCAUGAUUCUAUGUUGAGUUCUGUGAUGAUGUAUGAUCUCCAGUGAUUGUAAAUGCUAAGCAUGCAUAAGAUUGUUUUGGUAUAUGGGUAUCUGCCAAUGUAGUUCAAAUUGCAUGAAAUAGUUAUGAUUCCACGUUUAAAUGAAAUGCAUGUAAAUGAAAUGCAUCUAUUGCAUGAUUAUAACGGUAGGAUAUGAAAAUUAGACAAAGUUAGGAUUUUUGAAAUGGUGUUUUUGUAUACCGUCAUCUAAAAUUGUUGGGUGCAAACUAUGAUGAGUGAAGCUUCGGGCCUUGCAGAUGGGACACUACGGUGUUCGAGCAUUAAAGUUAAAAGUAGCUAAAUCAAGGAAUGGAUUAGGGAAUGGAAUUUCUGUUAGAUUCCAUAAUUUGGUGUUGCUGGGUGGAAAUUGUGAUGAGUGAAGCUUCGAGCCUUGCGGAGGGGACACUGCGAUGUUCGAGCAUCUAGGUUAGAUGUGAAAUGAAAUGCUAUCGACUAGCUCACUAGAGUGACAUUGUCACAACUAUUAUUAGGUUCCAUAGAGAAAUAAUGUGACAGUGGUCAACAAUCUCUAUGGGACAACACUGUGACGAUAAUAAGGUCCUUCGAGGCGACACCUCAAAGAGGUUUAAGGUGUAAGACCAUAUGUAACACCCCUUACCCGUAUCCGAGGCCGGGCUAAGGUAUGAGGUGUUACCAGACAAACAUACAAACAUUAAACUAAAAUACGAGCCAUAAAAUUUUAUUCAUAUUUCAAAGCGUUCAUUCUCUUACACAUAGUCCCUUAUUUGAGUCUACGGAGCCCAAAACAUACUUUAGAAAGGGUUUGGGACUAAACUGAGAACUUACGAAAAUCUUGGAAAUUUCAUGCUUUAAUGCUCCACAUGCCCGUGUCCCAAAGUCGUGUUCCAUACACGGCUGGGACACAUGGUCGUGUCUCUGCCUGUGUGGAAUACACCUAGGCUAUUUUCCAAGCUUUGGUCAACCUUGAUCUCUUACACACUUAUACAAAAUCAAAAGCAUAUAACAUGGUAUUCAUUUAAUGAUUAAACAUCCUCAAUUAAACCACAAACAUAGCAUUUGUAUGUCAUCAUACAUGUGUCUCUCAUACUCAUUUUACCUUGUUUAUUAUAGUACCACUUAUAUAUUUAUACCAAGAUUAUCAUCUUACCAAAUAUCUUCAGCUUAAUCAUUAAGCAUUCAUAUUUAAAGCUAGAUCAUAUCUUUAUAAAAUACCACGAUUCAGAUGCGCAGAAUAACAUGUUUGCCUGAAACAUUUCAAUUCAAUUCCAUACCCAACAAGCAUUACAUUGAGACUAGUCAUAUAUAUAUAUACAUGUCAUGAUACAUAACAUUCUCUUUUUGUUUUCUUAUAAACACAUAUCAUUUAUUUCAUUAUAUCAAUAUUUCAUAUACCAUAGUUUCCAUGUAUUCCACAUAUAUUUAUUUUCCUCCUCUUCCUCUCCAUUCCACAUCCUUAAUGUAUAUAGCAUUCUUGUAAGUACGAUUUCACAAUUUACUAAUAAAUGUUCACAUCAAACUGUCCACAUGAGUCAUAGUCACUUAAUUAUUUAUAAUUCGAGCUACAGAGCUCCAAAUUAAGAUCAGUAAAUUUCUCCUGAAACUAGACUCACAUAUAUUUCCACCAUAAAAUUUUCAUAAUUUUUGGUUUAGCCAAUUAGUACAGUUUAUUCAUUAAAAUUUCCCCUGUUUCACUUUCUGACAGUUCUGCCUCUCUUCACUAAAAAAUAAUUAUCGCAUAGUACAGAACUCGGAUAAUGUUCUUGUUGAUUUAUAUUGAAAAUAGACUCAUUAUGGAUUUUAAAAAUAUAAUUUUGAGCCUCUAAUUAUUUUUCUCCAAAUUUUUGUAAUUUUCCAAAGUCAGAACAGGGGAUCACAUAAUCAUUCUGAAUCAGUCUUAUAAAAACGUAAAUAUCUAAAAAUAUAGAAAUCCUUUGCUUUCUAUGUUUCUUUUAUAUGACAAUAGACUCAUUAAGCUUUAAUUUUAUAUCUCAUUCAGUCUCUAAUUCAAUUUAUACUAUUUUUGGUGAUUUUUCAAAAUCACAUCACUGCUACUGUCCAAAAUAGUUUUAUUGCUAAUUCACUCUUUCACACUUUCUUUGUAUUAACCUCAUUUUAACAUACAUAUCACAAAUCAUUUUCACCACAUUUCAUACAUCACAAGUAUAGGCCCAUGAUCACAAGGUCACCAUAAAAUCAUCCUCAUGUAUAACUUACUUGUUUAUAACCUUACCACAUCUUGGUCACUUAAUGAACACAUCAUUCACAUAACCAAGUUCCUGCACUUAUUCAUCACAAAACUCACAAAGCAAUACAUAGAGAGUCUCCCGUUGAACACUUCAGAUCAACCCUCGAUACUUGGUGGUUUCAGCACAUAGCUCCACCCAUCAUAUAGUUCGGCUCUCUUGUACACAUGGUGAACACUUAGUACCACCCAUGUGACCUAGCCAGUUUAUCUCGUAGCUCUCUUGUCUACAUGGUGUCCUUCACUUGGAACCACGCAUGCGACCUAGCUACAUAUAUCCCGUAGCUCUCUUGUCUACAUGGUGUACACAUAGUAUCACCCAUGCGACCUAGCUACAUCAUAAUGUCUUGUAGCUCUCUUGUACACAUGAUGUGCACUCAGCACUAUACAUGUGACCUAGCUACAUACCAUCUGUAUCAUCCAAUCUUUCCGAAGGUUCAACCGGGAUUUCUCUCUUUUCCAACAAUUUUACCAAUCAAGUAAUUAUCCACAAACAUAUUUCUAAUAUUUUUAUAAAAUAUCAUAAUACAAGUAAUAGUGAUGUAUUACUUACAUAUAAACUUACAUCUCAUUUAAUAUCAACGCAAUAACAUUAAAUUACACUUUGUCUUAUUAAAAAUCAUAUGAACUUACAAUUUCUCAUAAUAUCCAUAAUCAUAGAAAUCACAUUUAUGUAUGAUAAUUCAAUGCACUUCAUGUACCAUAGACAUAUUUUUAAAUCAAUUCAUAAACUUGGCACCAUAAUCAUUUAAUUUAACAUAAUUCAAUUAAUUCACUAAAUUUAACUUUUAAAUAUAAAUUACAGCAAUAUUGUUAUAUUAUUAUCAUACCAACUUACAUACUUUCAACACCUCGGAGAUCAUAGUAAAUAUAUCAAUUUUACAUUGAAACAUGCAUAAAUUAAUGCUUAUUAUACAUAUGAACUUACCUUGAUAUUAAAACGGCCAUUUUACCAACUUUCCCAAUUUUCGAUUUUUCUCUCAUUCUAGGUUCAAAUCUCAUUUUCUGGGAUCUAAAACAUCAUAUUUUACUAAUUUAAUUAAUGUACUAUUCAAAACAGUCCUUAACUCAAACUUUGGAAAAUUACAAUUUUGCCCCUAAACUUUUACAUAUUUACACUUUUGCCCCUAGGUUCGGGAAUUAAAUUUCAUCCCUUAUUCUUAUGUUUUAUGACAUGAUGAUCACUUUUCCCUUCUAUGGCAACAUCAAAUUCUCACUCUAACAUAUACUUAUAACUAUUAGGUAUUUUUACCGAUUAAGCCCUUUUGCUCGUUUUCACCUAAAAUCGAGUAGCACAAGUUGUCUAACAUAAUUUAAAACCUCAUAUUGUAUCAUAAAACACCAGAAUACACAAAUUUUACCUAUGGGUAUUUUUCCAAAUAUGAACCCUAGGUUGAAUUAUUGCUAGCAUAAGCUAAAUCAAGUUACCGGGACUCUAAAAACGUAAAGAACUUGAAAAACGGGGUUAGAACGGAUUUACAAUUGAGCUUGGGAAGCUUGAAAACCCUAGCCAUGGAGUCUCCCUUGGUAUACACGUCCAUGGUGAAGAAGAUGAGCAAAAUUGGCUUUUAAUUUUGUAUUUUAAUUCAUUUUACCCCUAAAUGACCAAAAUACCCUUACUACUAAACUUUCCAAAAAUUCCAUCCAUGUCCAAUUUUUGUCCAUAACUUAGAAAUUGGUAAAAUUUCUAUUUAAUACCUCCUAGUUAAUAUUUCAAAUCAAUUUCAUACUAGAAACUUCUAGAAUGAAAGUUUUGCAACUUAUUCAAUUUAGUCCCUAACUUCGAAUUAAGCACUUUAUGCAUAGAAUUUCUUCACGAAAUUUUCACACAAUCAUGCAAUCAUAUCAUAGACCUCAAAAUAAUCAUAAAAUAAUUAUUUAUAUCUCAAAUUCUAUGGUCCCGAAACCUCUGUUCCGACUAGACCCAAUUUUGGGCUAUUACACCAUAGCUCGACUAUGGAAACCAAUGGAGUCUGCCAGGACAUUCAACAUGGGGUUGUGUAAAACCAUAGCUCGACUAUGGCAAUAUAAAGAGUCCACCAGAACUUUAAUCAUGGGAUUAAACCGAGUAAGACCAUAGCUUGACUAUGGCAACAUAUGACGUCUGUCGGGAUAUUAAACGCGGGGCAGUCCGCUAGGAGAUUAAACACGAGGUAGACCACCAAGAUGGCAAUUAGAAAAAUAACGUAUAUGGAAAAAAAGGUUAGAAGAAAAUGCAAGUGUUAGCGAGUGAUAGUUAGCAAGUUGAUUUUGAAGAAUCCGUCGAACAAGGCAAAAGUAGUAGAAAAGGGAAUAUGGGAGCUUGUAGGGCAUAUAGGUGGUAACCCAACAAGAAUCAGACAUGGGAAAUGAUGUGCCAGUAGUGCCGAUGUAUAGAAAAAUGAAAGAAGAUUUAUUUGAGGAUUGCAAAUAAGGAUCCUCUAUUAAUAACCACCAGAAGGGGCUUAGUGAAACUUUUUAAGUUAGAGGUUCGAUCAUAAGUACCUUGGAUAGACUAUUUGGUAAAGAGGGGUUAGUUAUAACCUAUUAACAGGUAAAGACACUAAGAAGGUUAAUCCAAGUGACAGAUAUGUCUGUCAAGACUAUUCUUCUUUGAGGAAAACCUAGUGCAAUAGUAUCCUCUAUAUAGUUAGUUCUAUAGGGAACUAUCAUAUAAGGAAGAAUGUAAACUCGAACGGUUAAUAGUCUACUAGAAUUUCAGACCAAAAUGUCCAAUGCAGAUGGAUUCGAUGCACCUUAAAAGUAAGCUAUCAUGGUUAGGAAAGUUUACUAUGGGUAACCCAAACAACAUUUCAACCCGAGUGUAGCGUAGAAGUAGAAAUGAUGAAAUAAUGUUAAGACUGCUAGUGUGGCGUGACCCUUUUCUAAUAGGCCUAAUGAGCAGAAUGUUAGUUAUUUUGCCAAAACUCUUAUAUGUUUACGAGUCAGGAUAAAGAUAAAAAGGAUGUUCAUGAUAGGAAGUGUGAAGAAGGAGAACAAAUUGUAAUAUGUGCAAGGAAAAGUGAGAAUUUGCAAGGAUGAUAAAUCAUCUAGAAUCCACCAAAAUUAGUUGAAUGGUCAAAAGCUCGACCAAGUAAUGAUCGCGCUGCGAUCCAUCUGCCAAUAAAGAAAUGCAAAAGUUGAACAGGAGUCUGACACUACAGAUAGCGUGAAUGUCUAAGUAAAUCAGGGAGUUAGAGUAUUUUAUUUUCUUUUAGGUUAAUACCUCAGCAAGAAGAGGGAUAAUCAUAUUUCUACAUGUAGUAGUAAAGAAACUCUCUAAGUUCAUUUGAGCUUACAGAAGUUUUGGCCUAUGUUUGCAGGAUUUGUGGGAUAGGAAACUCGAGAAGGGACCAAGCCAGACCAUGUUAGACCAAGGAACAUUGCCAGUUAGAUGUCAUGCACAUAAAAAGGGUACUUGCAAAGGCUUUGCCUUGGGGAUUAGAUUUUUUGUAACUAAGUUUAGAGAUUAAAUUUUCAUGUUAGUCAAUUACGUUUAGAUUAAGGUCUUGUUAUAGUAAUUAUUCGAAAUAAAUUUAGAAAAUUCUUUUGGAAAAUUUUGACUUAAGCUUGAUGUUAGACCAAAUCGGUUUAGUUAUGACACCUCAAACCUAGACUCGGCUAUCAGGUUGGGUAAAGGUGUUAUAGCUCUACUCAAUGCUUAGUGGACUGUUUCUGUCAGUGCAAGAUGUUGACAGCCAUUGGGUUUCAUUGUAUACUCAAGGUUCAUUUGUCAGUAACUUUUUUACACUCCAAAAUUGUAACACCCCAAACUCGGCCCUGACAUUAUGGUCGGAUCCGACAUGCCACAUCGAAGCAUUCAAAACAUUUUAUAUUGUUGAUCCAUAAAAACUUACUUAGUGUUUUAAAAGAUGAUUAUAGGUUAAAGUGGAUGGAAGCUGUGCACCAAGUAGGAAACCGGAAAAGAGGAGGUGAGUCUAUCAGACUACUUAAGUACCAAGCUCCCUUCGGAUCCAAUCCUAGACAUGCACACCGCCAUUGCCACACCUUAACGUCAUGUAUAUUUCUAGGAAACCGAUUUGAUUAAGUCAUUUUUAGGAAAAGUGAUUAAUUUUGGAAAAUACUUUCAUUGCGGAAGCUUUGCUUGUUGUCGUGUUAUUUUUGAAAUCAAUUGUUGUUUUUUUUUAAAACGCGCCCUAAAGCUAUCCAAUUUCAACAGUUAAAAUAAGUAAUACCUAUCUUAGUAAUACAUAUUAAAACCAUCAAAAACAAUUAAGCGGCCUUAUUACAUUUAAAAACCCAAAACUUCAAACGUAAAUAAAAGGAUGUCCAGUUCACCAGAAGAAAAUCAAACUUUCAGAACGGGUGGCCACUCCGAAUUCCCUCACAGCUCGAAGCCCACUAUGGUUGGGGAUUACCUGCGUGGAUGAAAAUAAAAAGGGUGAGUUUGGGGAAACUCAGUGUGUAAGGAAAACCCAUUCAAAGCCCAAGUCUGAUCAAGCCUAUUGGGCCUAAGCCCAUUAAGGUAACAGUGGUACUGGACCAGAGCCCUUUUCAGAUUACAAUAAACUGGGCCUUAGCCCCUUAUUCAGAUAACAGUAUGGCCCAUAGGCCCAUUUUAAAAUACAUGCAACAUCAAUAACAUAUGCAAGCCCAUUUGGGGAGACUACUCAACCCACCAACCACUACACUCCACCCGUACCAGCCUUACACUCUAUGUGGGGAAUAGCUCAACCCACCCAGCCCAACACUCCACAGUUGCAGCCUUGCUGCUCAGUUAACAGUAAAUUGAGGCAAAGCCUCCAGUACGUGGACAAGCCACUUUCAGUACUUCCUCCGUCAAUAUCCCAAUCCCAUGCAUCAGAUAAUAACAACAUGGCAUGCAAUAAAUAACAACAGUCAAACAUGCAUUUAGGUCAAUUUAACCCUAGGGGUAUUUUGGUAAUUUAUCUACUAGGGGUAAAAUUGUAAAUUUUCCACUUUUAAAGGUAUUUCAGUAAUUUAUCUAUUUUAGGGUUUUUCAUGCAUAUUCCUACUUUUCACGUACUAACAAAAUCACAUACCGAGGGUUCUUACCGAAUUGGGCCCGUUGGCCCAUCAUUCCAAUUUUGGCUCAUUAAGCCCAAAAAUAUCGAGGGCACAGAAAUCAUGCACUUUACAGUCCAAAUUUUGCAGCUUACCAAAAACAUUAAUCGAUUUACCUCACGAGCAUUCGUACACUCGCAAAUCUAUAAAAUACCGGUUUUCGGCAUUUCGGCUUUUCGACUUUUGCCGAUCCAGACUAAGAAAGAGGGUGUUAGUUACACACCUGUUUGCGACGAUAUGCUGACGAGAUCCACACACGAACUGCCUACAAUUGGAUUACUAACACAUUAAUCUAACUAUUCAAAUACAAACUACGUAUUAACCCCUUACAAUAUUCGGCCAACCACACCUACAGAUCAUAGUAAGCUUAUAAGAAAUCAAUAAGCAACUCAUUAACAAAUUUUUGUCAAUGUUUACCACAUAAUCAUAAUCUCACUGCAAGCUGUCUUCCUGAACAACAGUCACUAAAUCAUUUAUAACUGGAGCUACGAAACUCCAAAUCAAGUGCCGUUAAUUUUCCUUGAAAAUAGACUCAUAUAUCUUAUAUUCAUAAAAUUUUCAGAAUUUUUGGUUUAGCCAAUCAAUACCAGAUUUUUCUUAAUGUUUCCCAUGUUUCACUGUUUGACUAAUCUGACCACUCUUCAUUACGAAUCAAAUUUCUCAUUGUACAGAAUUCAAAAUAUGUUCUCGUUUAUUUCAUUUGAAACUAGACUCAACAAGAUUUAAUUACAUAAUUUAUUCAGCUUCUAACUCAUCUCCCACAAUUUAUGGUGAUUUUCCAAAUUCACGUUACUGCUGCUGUCCCAAGCAGAUUUAUUACCAAAUCACUCUUUCACACAUAACUUGCAUGUAUGUUUUUUUUAAACAUGUAUAUCACCAAUCAAUCAUCACAUAUCUAUGAUUUUACUUAAGUAUAAUCUCCAUUUAAUCAUUUUAAAGAACAACAUAUUAGCCGAUUUUUUUCCCUUUAGCAUCUAAGGCACAUGCAUGCUCAUUUGUUUGGCUCAACUUCACCUAUCUUCCAUUUUUCAUCAAAAGAACAUGAAACAACAACCAUUUCCUUCAUUUUAAUUCAUGACUAAAUGCUCACAACACAACUAAAAACCAAAAUAUGCUUCAAGAGUUAAGGUAGAAUCAAGAACUCAUGAAUUUCAAAAUAGAAGCAAGGUACCAUGAACUUACCUUCAAUUUUUUUCCCCAAGUGACCGAACAUUCAAGAGCUUUCUCCUCUCCUUUCUCUUCUCUAACUUUAGGCUAUGAUGAACAAAGAUAGACAAAACUUUGUUCUUUUCACCCCUUUUUCUUUUAAUAAAAUUUCAUAUUUCAUCCAUUUAAUUCUUUAAUACAAAAGACAUGAAAUGCCCAUCAUGGAACAUUUACUUAAACUAUUAUCAUGGAACAUUUACCUAACCCAUUAUCAUGGAAUAUUUACCUAACCCAUUAUCAAUUUGUACCAUGAAUUACGGAUAUCAAGUGCUCAUAUUGUCUACAACAACAUGAUGGAUGGCCACUUCAUGUAAAAUGGGAGGUUUGUCAUGCAAAUCCUCCUAUUUUGCACUCCUAUUAAUUUGGCCACUUCAAUUUAGCCUAUAGCAUUUUCAAACAUUUUCACAUAGGUCCUAUUUCAUAAUUUCACCCCUUUUUUCUUAUGGAACAAAAAAUUAACUAAAAUUGUCGGGUUCUAUCUUAAACUUGGGCCUUCUAGAGGCCCACUAAUAUAAUUAAACCUAUUCCAACAUUCACAGAAUUCCCGAAAAUUGGGGUGUUACAAAAAUAUAGGUGAGAACGAAUAGAAUCUUAAAGAAAAUGACAUUGAUGCACGCCUUGAAGCUUUUGUUAAUUUAUCAUAAAUUCUUUUUUAUCCCUAUACACCAACAAUCACUUAUAGUAAAAAAAUAUUAAGUUGAUUUUAUUUCAUUAAAAAUUUGAAAUAAAUUAUCUUUUUAAAAAAUAUAUUUUCAAAUUACCAUAUUUAAAAUGUAUUCAAAUUUAUCUAAAAUAAUAUAUUAAUAUUAAAAUUAAGAAAUAAAUAAAUAUUUUUAAAAAUUAAUUUUUACUUUUAUAAGAAAAACAUAAAUAUAUGCAAUACUUAUAUUUUACCAAUUUACCAAACAAUUUUCUAAUAUAAAUUCAAUAGUUAUAAAUUUAAUAAUAAAAAUUCAACACUUAAUUGUUCAAUUUAUAAAAGAACACUUAAAAAUAUAACCAUAACCAUCAAAUACAUAUAAAAAAAAAGAGUAUUAUUGAUCAAAAUCUUACAUGUAAAACAUACCGAAAAUUUAACAUGUACGAUCGUAACAUGUUAUAAUGAAAUUACUUGAAAAAUUGGAGACAAAUCAAAUAAAAUUGAUCGAACUUGAUUUCUCAAAUAUAAAUGAAUCUUUUGUUUCUUUUUUUAAAAAAGCUUUGAUUCAAGGCUCGCUCGAACUUAGGUCUUGUUUGAUUUAAUUCAUUGAAAAAAUUAAAUUAACUAAAAAUAAUAUUUUUAGUAACUUAAUUUUUUUAAGCAUGUUUGAUAAUUCAUAAUAAAAAAUAAAUGACAGAAUUUUUCAAUGAAAAAGUGUGGAAAAUAAUAAGUAGAUAAGGAGUAACUUAUCAGUUAGUGUAUAAUUUUUUUCAAUUAUUUUUAUUUUAUAGAUCCUUUAAAUACUUCACCUUUAAAAUUUUAAGAAUUACAUUUAUGAAACAAUCUAAUUACAUUCUGCACUUAGUUUUAAGAAAUAUGGCAAACAUAUUAUAUAAUUUAAAUCCAGAACUUAAUUUUUAAAUUUAUGAAGCAACACCUUAAUCUUGAAACAAUGCAGUCUUCUUCAAGGUACAUUGAGACUUGAUAUUGAAAAUAGGUUUAGAGAGAUACUUGCUUGAGAGUAUUGUCACACCGCAAGUUUUUCUUGUAACACCCCAGUUUUGGCGAGUACAAGGUUUGGCGUGUAGCUUCAAAUAGUUUAAUUGGCGGAAUGAUAUUUGCCCAUGAACAUCUUUUGGCUUAGAGUGGGCAUAUCCCUUAAGUGUGUAAGUUAAUGGUACUGUAAUAUCAAAAUUCUUAUGUUGAUGGGAGUAGGGUGCCAGAUAAAUAAAAAGGUUUGUGGUUUGAGUUCAUGCUUGAGAAGGGGAUUUACGCCUUUUUUGUCUGUAGCAUUGUGCAAGUUGAGUUGCAAGGUAAGUUGGUUAGAGGCCAACUGAAUAUACGUCUGGAUUGUAACACCCCUCGCCCGUAUCCCUCACUGGAACAGGGUUCGAGAUGUUACCCGACUUAAACUCAGUCAAUCACACAAAAACCGUGCUGUAAAAUUUCAAUCAAUUUAAAACUUUUCUUUUCACAUGCAAUCUAUCCCAUAUAUGAGCUUACGAGGUCCAAAACAUUAAAACCCUAUACAUGCCAUAGACUCGAAAUACUAAGAUUUACUUACACCGAUAACGUGAGCUCGACAGUGUGAUAAUAUCUCCGACGAACUCCAACCCGAGCAGGUAACUGAAGUCAACAAUCUAUAAAACAGAGAAAUGUAACAAUGGAGUAAGCUUUCAUAAGCUUAGUAAGUCUUAAGCAAUGCAAACAAAUAAACGCAAUUAUACUUCGAUUAUUUAAUUUCUUAAGAGGCCAAAUUCUAGGGAUAUUGCCAUCUGGACGAAUAUACACAAGCACAUAAUGCACGUUUAGCAUUCUCAUCACACUUAAUCUGAAUUCAUAUAACGUAUUUUUAUCAAAUACCCUCACAUACUUUCACACCCUGACCAGGUGUAUCAUGAUCAUAGGUAUAGUUUUAACAUUUAUUCACGUACGUAUCACAUUACUCCCUUAUGAUUCACUUCAAAUCAAACUCACAUAUGAGUACAUACUGCGUACCUGGCCUACUUUACGUAUUAAAUGUAUUCAUUUGACAAUCUAGCACAAGGUACCUUAGUCAUAGGCUUUUCUCAAAUCACCGGUAUUUCGCCUGCUAGGCUCGAGGCCCGAUAUCAUUUCAUCGGCUUUAUAGCCUGCUAGGCUCGAAAGCCCGAAUAGUAUCUUACCGACAUUAUAGUCUGCUAAGCUCAAAGGCCCGAAUAAUCAAAUCAACAAGUUCCAUAUAACAUAUUCAUAUCAAUUGAGUACUAACAUUAUUCGAACGUAUAUAUAAUUAUACAUCUCAAACAUUUUUCUUUCAUCUCAUUUUCACACUUAACAUUUGAUAGCUUAUGCAUAACAUUUCACUCACAUUCAUUUCAAACUUAUCAUUCGAUUAUAAAAGCAUAUUGCAUAUUUACCAACAUGUUAUACUUGCCAUUAGGCCAUAUAAGCAUGAUACAAUGCACUAUCAUUUCAUCUUUAACAUUCGGCUAAACCCUUAUCUUACAAGGAACACCGAAUUCACAUAACAUAUCAUUUCAUUGGCAUUAACCUGCUAGGCACGAAGGCCCGAAUACACAUCACCGGUACGAAGCCUGCUAGGCACGAAGGCCCGAAUACAUAUCACCAGUACGAAGCCUGCUAGGCACGAAGGCCCAAAUACACAUUACUGGCACGAAGCCUGCUAGGCACGAAGGCUCGAAUACACAUCACCGGCACGAAGCCUGCUAGGCACGAAGGCCCGAAUACACAUCACCGGCACGAAGCCUGCUAGGCACGAAGGCCCGAAUAUAAUACCAGCACUAGGCCUGCGGGAUUUAUCCAAGAUAUAAUACCAGCACGAAGCCUGCGGGAUUUAACCCGGAUAUUUUACCAGCACGAAGCCUGCGGGUCUUUAAGCCCGGAUACACAUCAAAUAUCAUGCAUAUUUAAUUAUAUAUUAACACAUCUCAUUCAACAUAUCACAUUUCCAUUUCACCAUUCAAACUUAACCCAUAGUGACCAUUCGACUAUAAGUCAUAUGCAUAAAUUAUUUAUCGCGCAACUUAGUUCAACUAGAACCAAAAGGUCACGAUUCAUCUAAUAUAUACAUAUUGCUCACUGAUUCGCACACAACCUUUCAAAUUAGCAAUUAUAAGAUGGUUCCGCACAUAGCCCAUCCUUAUCGAUAAUUUACGAUGGUUUUACCCUUAGUCACGUAUAUGUCAUAGGCAUUUUUACCUAUUCUUCUCAAUUCAUAUUCAUGACUCAAUUCCAAUCGAUUUAACGUGCCUAAGUACAUAUCGCAUACCUGAAUAAUUUACUUUACGAAACGAAUCCACAUAUCGUAUUAGCCCAUAGUCUUAUAGCACCACACUUUUAAUGGUUUACCUCAUCGAGGUUCACAUUUAAUCACUUUAGUGCCAAGCCAUAUUUGGCUAUCACAAAGAACUAAUAAUAAUAAUUUUAUACACAUCAUGGUUUCCUUUAGGUAUUUAAUAAUCACAAAUCGUGAUAUCUCUACCAGCACAUAUACGACAUAGUUUAUUCAUUGUAACACUCAUUUAGUGCAUCAAAUUUCCAAAUCCAAUUCAACUUAAGCAUAAUAGCCAUAAUCGGCUUAUAGCCUUAAAUCAUUACAUAUUCGGCACAUUAACUAAAUAAAAUUUACAUUCCCUUUACCAUAUUAAUUUAACUCUUGGGCAUAUAAAAAGGAAUCAAGCUUAAACACUUAAGAACUUACCUCGAAUGUUUCCGAAUGAUUACAACGGCUAUUCGAUUACUUUCUCUUUUCUCUUAUCCGAAUUUGCCCCUCUAUGCUCUUGAGCUUAAAAUUUAAAGAUUUUAAACUAGUCAUUAUUCGACUAUUCAAGCAUCACUUUCAAAAUAUAAUAUAUAUAUUCAACUUUCACACCUAUUGAUCAUAGUAAGCUUAUAAGAAAUCAAUAAGCAACUCAUUUGUCAAUGUUUACCACAUAAUCAUAAUUUCACUGCAAGCUAUCUUCCUGAGCUACAAUUACUAAAUCAUUUAUAACUGGAGCUAUGAAACUCCAAAUCAAGUUCCGUUAAUUUUCUCUGAAAAUAGACCCAUAUAUCUUUUACCCAUAAAUUCAGGAUUUUUGGUUUGGCCAAUCAAUACCAGAUUUUUCUUAAAGUUUCCCAUAUUUCACUGUUUGACUAAUCUGACCACUCUUCACUACGAAUCAAAUUUCUCAUUGUAUAAAAUUCAAAAUAUGUUCUCGUUUAUAUCAUUUGAAACUAGACUCAUUAAGCUUUAAUUACAUAAUUUAUUCAACUUCUAACUCAUCUCCCACAAUUUAUGGUGGUUUUCCAAAAUCACGUUACUGCUGCUGUCCCAAGCAGAUUUAUUACCAAUUCACUCUUUCACACAUACCUUGCAUGCAUGUUAUUUAAACAUGCAUAUCACAAAUCAAUCAUCACAUACCUAUAACUUCACUUAAGCAUAAUCUUCCUUUCAUCAUUUUAAAGCACAACAUUACUCAAUAUUAUCCAAGUUCACAUUCGGCCAUAAUACACACAACAUGUUAACCGAUUUUUCCCCUUAGCAUCUAAGGCACAUGCAUGCUCAUUUGCUUGGCUCAACUUCAUCUAUUCUCCAUUUUUCAUCAAAAGAACAUGAAACAAAAACCAUUUCUCUCAUUUCCAUUCAUGACCGAAUGCUCACAACACAACCAAAUAUAAAAAAUAUGCUUCAUGGGUUAAGGUAGAAACAAGAAAAACCCAUGAACAUCAAAAUAGAAGCAAAGCACCAUGAACUUACCUUGGAUUUUCUUCCCCAAGUGACCGAACAUUCAAGAGCUCUUUUCCUCUCCUUUCUCUUCCAUUUUUGGCUACCAUGAACAAGGAUGGACAAAACUUUUCCUUCACUUCCUUUUGUUACUCUUAUUAUUCUAAUUACCCAACAAUUUAUGACACAAAAUGGCAUAUAAUAUUUGUGCCAUACUCAUGCCAUAAUUUCAAUAAAAAAAUAUGCACAUGUUGUCUACCACCAACAUGAUGGUCGGCCACUACAUGUAAAAUGGGAGGUUUGACAUGCAAAUCCUCUUAUUUUACACUGCAAAUUAUUUGGCCACUACAAUUUGGCCUAUAGCAUUUUCAGAAAUUUUCACAUAGGUCCUAUUUCAUAAUUUUACUCUCAAAUGACAAAAUCAAAGCAUGAAAUUUUCACACAUGCACUUUCACAUAUAAUAAACACAGAAUAUAACAUUUAAUUAUUUUUGUGACUCGAUUUUGUGAUCCCAAAACCACUUUUCGACUAGGGCCAAAUUAGGGCUGUCACAACUCUCCCCCCUUAGGAAUUUUCGUCCCCGAAAAUCUUACCAGAAGAAAUAGUUUCUACUCUAAAAACGUUUUCGCCAAAUUCUCGGAAUCACAAUUUUUCCAUUCUUCACAUGUAUCUCUUUUUACCAAAAAUCCAGAACUUUGGUCUACACCAACAGAUCACAUCAUAGAUAAACAAACAUUUCACAAUCGGAGUUCAUAUAAAGAUCCUUUACAUAACCUUUAACCCAUCUGUAUACUUAUUCCAUAUUAGAACAAUAAUAACAUCAACAGAAAUCUUAUAUGUCCAGAUAUCCAAAAUCAAAUAACUGUUACUCUGAACUCAUUUUGAACUAUCACAUUUCAUAUACUUUUAUAAGAUGGAAUACCAUUUAAUAGAAACAGAAGAAUAACAUCGUAUGAAUUUAUCCUCGAAUUUAUUCCGAUCAUACUACAAUAAAAUCUUAUAAUAAUAACACUGAUAAGGGGGUGGGGUCGUUAAGCCUCGAAAAGAACCUUCAUAUUUGUAUACACAGAUAACUUUAUCACUCAUCAUAAUAUUACACACAUUGAUUCAAACAUUUCAAAUUUCCAAUUCGUUAUAGAUACAAUUUCACAUAUCUCAGUAAUACACGCAACUUUAUUUCAAGUGAAUAUUAGCAAAACAUAAAUGAAUUUAUCACAAUUCACACUUUCAUUUCUCUUACUCAAAUUACCAAUAAUGUCUUAUCAAGUUUCCACAUUUAGUAUUGAUCUCUUGUCAAUAUUUAUCAAAUCGAAAAACGUCUUACAGUUUUGAGUACAUCGCUUACUUGAUGCCAUAGUCCAACUAUGGUCUUAUACUAGCUCUGCUCUGACCGUGCUGAUGCCUAUUCCCGAUAGGUCUUACACUAGCACUCACUGGGCUGUGCCGAUGCCUAUCCCAGAUAGGUCUUAUGCUUAGCACAAGUCGAGCUGAUGCCACGUCCCCGAUGGGUCUUACACUAGUUCAUCUGUCUCAUGUAUUGCCAUGGUCCAACCAUGGUCUUUUCCGUCAAUUCAUUAGUGAACGAUCGUACUCAUUCCCUUUCAAUUUCGUCAUAUCACAAUAUAUCACAAUCAGUUCAAUAGCAUUUUUGGAUCAAUUAAUAAUAGCUCGGUUGGAACACAUCAUUACCUGAGCAAAAUAAUUUAUAAGAGCUGGGAGAUAUCACACUAUCACGCUUUACUUACGGCAUGUAUAGCUAAACUCUUAUACUUGCUAUGUUAGUCCGAGAACCGACUAAACCAUAGCUCUGAUACCACUUAAUGUAACACCCCUCGCCCGUAUCCCUCACCGGAAUAGGGUUCGAGGUGUUACCCAACUUAAACUCAGUCAAUCACACAAAAAUCGUGCUGUAAAAUUUCAAUCAAUUUAAAACUUUUCUUUUCACAUGCAAUCUAUCCCAUAUAUGAGCUUACGAGGUCCAAAACAUUAAAACCCUAUACAUGCCAUAGACUCGAAAUACUAAGAUUUACUUACACCGAUAACGUGAGCUCGACAGUGUGAUAAUAUCUCCGACGAACUCCAACCCGAGCAGGUAACUGAAGUCAACAAUCUAUAAAACAGAGAAAUGUAACAACGGAGUAAGCUUUCAUAAGCUUAGUAAGUCUUAAGCAAUGCAAACAAAUAAACGCAAUUAUACUUCGAUUAUUUAAUUUCUUAAGAGGCCAAAUUCUAGGGAUAUUGCCAUCUGGCCGAAUAUACACAAGCACAUAAUACACGUUUAGCAUUCUUAUCACACUUAAUCUGAAUUCAUAUAAUAUAUUUUUAUCAAAUACCCUCACAUACUUUCACACCCUGACCAGGUGUAUCAUGAUCAUAGGUAUAGUUUUAACAUUUAUUCACGUACGUAUCACAUUAUCCCUUAUGAUUCACUUCAAAUCAAACUCACAUAUGAGUACAUACUGCGUACCUGGCCCACUUUACGUAUUAAAUGUAUUCAUUUGACAAUCUAGCACGAGGUACCUUAGUCAUAGGCUUUUCUCAAAUCACCGGCAUUUCGCCUGCUAGGCUCGAGGCCCGAUAUCAUUUCACCGGUUUUAUAGCUUGCUAGGCUCGAAAGCCUGAAUAGUAUCUUACCGACAUUAUAGUCUGCUAGGCUCAAAUGCCCGAAUAAUCAAAUCAACAAGUUCCAUAUAACAUAUUCAUAUCAAUUGAGUACUAACAUCAUUCGAACGUAUAUAUAAUUAUACAUCUCAAACAUUUUUCUUUCAUCUCAUUUUCACACUUAACAUUUGAUAGCUUAUGCAUAACAUUUCACUCACAUUCAUUUCAAACUUAUCAUUCGAUUAUAAAAGCACAUUGCAUAUUUACCAACAUGUUAUACUUGCCAUUAGGCCUUAUAAGCAUGAUACAAUACACUAUCAUUUCAUCUUUAAAAUUCGGCUAAACCCUUAUCUUACAAGGAACACCGAAUUCACAUAACAUAUCAUUUCACCGGCAUUACGCCUGUUAGGUACGAAGGCCCGAAUACACAUCACCGGCAUGAAGCCUGCUAGGCAUGAAGGCCCGAAUAUACAUCACUGGUACGAAGCCAGCUAGGCACGAAGGCCCGAAUACACAUCACCGGCACGAAGCCUACUAGGCACGAAGGCCCGAAUACACAUCACCGGCACGGAGCCUGGUAGGUACGAAGGCCUGAAUACACAUCACCGGCACGAAGCCUGCUAGGCACGAAGGCCCGAAUAUAAUACCAGCACUAGGCCUGCGGGAUUUAUCCCGGAUAUAAUACCAACACGAAGCCUGCGGGAUUUAACCCGGAUAUUUUACUAGCACAAAGUUUGCGGGUCUUUAAGCCCGGAUACACAUCAAAUAUCCUGCAUAUUUAAUUAUAUAUUAACACAUUUCAUGUAAUACCCCGAAAAUUUUUUAGAGUAAAAUAUUAUCCGUGAUAUAGUAAAAUAAGGAAAUAAAGUGACAAAAAGGGAAUUUUUGAGUGAUGUCAAUAUUGAGAAGUAUAUUAUUAUAUAUUAAUUCAAGAAAGGACUAAAUUGCAAAGAUGAGAAAAGUCUUGUUACACAAGAGUAAAUACUCAAAAUUUAAGGGGUUGAAGUGUAAAUAUAAAAAAGUUGAAGGACUAAUGGUGCAAAUAUUUUAAGGGUGGAAUGAUCUAGAAACCAAGAAAAAUUGAUGAAUUAGGACCAAAUUGAAUAGGUAAAAAAAUUAUGAGGGACUAAAUCACAAUUUUACCAAAUUAAGUGAUGACACAACGAUGGAAUUCUAAAAGAUCAUGAAGGGCAAAAUGGUAAAUUAGUAAGAGAGAGAAUUCUAGAAUGUAAUGAUUAUGUUGAUGAUAUUUUAAAUUAAUUAAUUAGAUAAAUAUUAUUUUAUUAACAUUUUAUGAGAUGUUUAUUAUUAUUAUAUUAUUAUUUAUUUAGUAUAAAAGGAAGGAAAGAUGAAGAAUUAUCAACACAUUUCCUUUCACAUGCAAACUAACGUAAGAUAAGAAGAAGAAAAGAAGUUUGCUUUCUUUACAAUUUAGUCCUUCCACCAAAAAUUCAUUAUUUUCGCCUAAAAAUUGAAAGAAUUUCCAUAGCCAUCAAGAGAGAAAGAUAGCAAGGAGAUGAUGGGGAUCAAGAAUAUCAAGUUGGAUUCAAGAAAUCGAAGCUGGAGGAGAGAGAAAAAUCAAGUUAAAGAUUGAAGUCAAUAAGAAAAGGUAAGUACAUCAAGAUUUCAAUAUGUUUUUAAGUUUGUUAUUAUUGAUAAAGCAUGGAAAUAAUGUUAUAGUAGAGUUUUCUUACAUAAGGUCCUAUGUUCUUGAUAUGUUAGUGAAGAAAAAAUAAGAUAAAGUGAUGAGAAAUGGUGUAGAAAAAGAAAAUAAGGAUGUUAUAACAUGGUAAUUAAUAUCUUGUACUAAAACAGUUUUGGACAGCAGCAGUAGUCUAACUUUGAAAAAUCAUAAAAAAUUGUAGAAAUCUAAUUAUAGGAUAAAUAAAAUAUUAAAUUAAAUCUUAUUAAGUCUAGUUUCUUAUAUAAGAAAUUAUGUAAGCAAUGGAAUUCUAAAUCAUAAGAUAUGAUGAAUUUUGUGAGACAAGGUCAGAAUGAUUUCGGGUUCCCCUGUUCUGAAUUUGUAAAAUCAUAAAAAAAUUGGAUAAAAAUAAUUAGGGGCUUAAAUUUAUAUUUUUAGAAUCCUGAAUGAGUCUAUUUUCAAUAGAAAUAAAUAUGAACAUCAUUUGAAUUCUGUACAAGGAGAUAAUUAAUUUUUAGUGAAGAAGGGUCACAACUGUCAGACAGCAGAAUAGGGGUAACUUUAAAGAAUAAACUGUACUCAUUGACUAAACCAAAAAUUCUAAAAAUUGUAUGGUAAGAAGAUAUAUGAGUCUAGUUUCAUGAAAAAUUAGCGGAUCUUAAUUUUGAGUCCUAUAUCUCCAGAUAUAAAUAAUUUAGCGACUAUGACACAGAUGGACAGCUUGAAUAUUCAUAAAAGUAAAUAAUAAAGAUUAUAGAUAAUGUUACUUACAAGUGUGCUACAUACAUCAAGGAUGUGGAAUGAAGAGGAGGAAGAGGAAAACAUAUAUGAAUAUUCAUUAAGCAUGGCUAAUUUGCAUAUUUUAGGUUUAGGGACUAAAUUGAAUAAAAGUAAACCUUUAUGGGUAAUUUUGUAAAAAUUUCAGAAAUGACAAAAUUGCAUGAAAUGGAUGAUUUUAUUAUUUAAAUUACAAAAUUGAAUGAAAUUAUUAAUUUAGUUCAAUAUCGGGGGGAAAACAUGUUUUAGGGAUUAAAUUGAAAAGUGUUGAAAUUAUGGAAAAUUAUGAUAUUUUAUAGAAUUCAUGGACUGUUAUCAAUAUAUAUGAGAAUAAUAGCUGGAAAUAAGGAUUAAAUUGCAGGAAUUUUAUUUUUCUGACCCUAAGGACGAAAUCGUCAUUAAUUAAAAGUUUAGGGGCAAAAUGAUAAUUUUGCCUAGAGCAUUAAUUAAAUGCAUUAGAAGAUGAAAUGAAUGAAAAUGAUGAUCAAAUUUAUUUAUAAAGAUGCGGACGACUCAAAUAUGAGACUUGAUCGUGGAAAAGAAAAGAUAUCGGAUUAAUGAAAUUAUAAACAGAAACAAGCAAUGAGGUAAGUUUGUGUAACUUGAAUUGUAUUUUAAAUACUUGAAAUAUGUGGUUAUGUGAUGAAAAUAUGAUUUGAAUGUUCAAUUCAUGAUAUUUGAUGAAAUAUUGAUAAUGCUCGAUAUAAAUUGAAAAUAAAUCUCAGUUGAAUGAAAGGAAAAUUCGAUGGGUCUCUGAAAAGGAAUUGACGGUAAAAAGGAUCUAGCCCGGACGGGUGAUCCUAUUCUGAUAUAGCCCUCCCGAAGAAUACGUGUAAAAUGGAUUUAGCCCGGACGGGUAAUCCGAAUUAGGGUCUGAAUUUAGGCUGGACUGGUAAUUCAGAUCCAAGCUCAUUAGAGUAAUUGUCGUUGCAGGGGAUUUAGCCUGGACUGGUAAUCCCAACAAUACUCUAUGAGUUUAUAUUACAGGGGAUUUAGCCUGGACUGGUAAUCCCACUGUAAGGAUGAGGUUCGCGGGAGUGUGCUCUCUGAUAUGAAAUGUGUAAGACCAUGGUUGAAAGAUACCAUGGCAGCCUGAUAUGAAAUGUGUAAGACCAUGGUUGAAAGAUACCAUGGCAGCCUAAUAUGAAAUGUGUAAGACCAUGGUUGAAAGAUACCAUGGCAGCCUGAUAUGAAAUGUGUAAGACCAUGGUUGAAAGAUACCAUGGCAACCUGAUAUGAAAUGUGUAAGACCAUGGUUGAAAGAUACCAUGGCAACGUGAUAUGAAAUGAACAAGACCAUGGUUGAAAGAUACCAUGGCAACAUGACAGAAAAUGAGUAAGACCAUAGUUGAAAGAUACUAUGGCAUCAUGUCAAAGAUAAAUAAGACCGUGGAUGGGAGACGCUCUAACAUCUGUUGAACAAUUGAUAUUCAGGUAAUAUGUAUCAGAUGACGAAUGGUUAUAUGAAAUAAUUAUGAAGAUAGAUAAACGAAAUAAGUAUAAGUACAUGGAAUAUAGUUUAUGUUAAGUUUGAUAUAAGCUAUUACCGGAAUAAAUAUACAUAAAAUAUAUGGAAAUGAUGGAGCAUGAAAUAUUGAUAUAAUGAAAUGAAUGAUAUAUGCUUAUGAAGAAACGGUAAGAGCAUGAUAUGUUUCAUGACAUGUACAUAUAUGAUUAUCUUUGAUAUGUUGAUACAAGGAAAUUAUGUAAGUUAAGACUAUUAUUAAACUCAAGUGCGAUAUGUCGAGAAAAUAGAUAUAUCAAUGUUGAAUUUAUAUGAGAUAUGUGCAAGUAUACUAACAAUGUUGCUGUUUGAUGCUUAUACAAGUGUCAAACUGUUGAUUGAAUGGUAAUAUAUUUAUUUAUAUGAUGCAUUGAAUCGGUAAGUAUUUAAAAUUUUUUUUAGUGAUCUGUAAAUGGUAGUAAUGCUCCGAAACCCUGUUCUGGCAGCGGAUACGGGUUAGGGGUGUUACAUUUCAUUCAACAUAUCACAUUUCCAUUUCACCAUUCGAACUUAACCCAUAGUGACCAUUCGACUAUAAGUCAUAUGCAUAAAUUAUUUAUCGCGCAACUUAGUUCAAGUAGAACCAAAAGGUCACGAUUCAUCUAAUAUAUACAUAUUGCUCACUAAUUCGUACACAACCUUUCAAAUUAGCAAUUAUAAGAUGGUUCCGCACAUAGCCCAUCCUUAUCGAUAAUUUACGAUGGUUUUACCCUUACUCACAUAUAUGUCAUAGGCAUUUUUACCUAUGCUUCUCAAUUCACAUUCAUGAUUCAAUUCCAAUCGAUUUAACAUGCCUAAGUAUAUAUCGCAUACCUGAAUAAUUUACUUUACGGAACGAAUCCACAUAUCGUAUUAGCCCAUAGUCUUAUAGCACCACACUUUUAAUGGUUUACCUCAUCGAAGUUCACAUUUAAUCACUUUAGUGCCAAGCCAUAUUCGGCUAUCACAAAGGACUAAUAAUAAUAAUUUUAUACACAUCAUGGUUUCCUUUAGGUAUUUAAUAAUCACAAAUCGUGAUAUCUCCACCAGCACAUAUACGACAUAGUUUAUUCAUUGUAACACUCAUUUAGUGCAUCAAAUUUCCAAAUCCAAUUCAACUUAAGCAUAAUAGCCAUAAUCGGCUUAUAGCCUUAAAUCAUUACAUAUUCGGCACAUUAACUAAAUAAAAUUUACAUUCCCUUUACCAUAUUAAUUUAACUCUUGGGCAUAUAAAAAGGAAUCAAGCUUAAACACUUAAGAACUUACCUCCAAUGUUGCUGAAUGAUUACAAUGGCUAUUCGAUUACUUUCUCUUUUCUCUUAUCCGAAUUUGCCCCUCUAUGCUCUUGAGCUUAAAAUUUAAAGAUUUUAAACUAGUCAUUAUUCGACUAUUCAAGCAUCACUUUCAAAAUAUAAUAUAUAUAUUCAACUUUCACACCUAUUGAUCAUAGUAAGCUUAUAAGAAAUCAAUAAGCAACUCAUUUGUCAAUGUUUACCACAUAAUCAUAAUUUCACUGCAAGCUGUCUUCCUGAGCUACAAUUACUAAAUCAUUUAUAACUGGAGCUAUGAAACUCCAAAUCAAGUUCCGUUAAUUUUCUCUGAAAAUAGACCCAUAUAUCUUUUACCCAUAAAUUCAGGAUUUUUGGUUUGGCCAAUCAAUACCAGAUUUUUCUUAAAGUUUCCCUUAUUUCACUGUUUGACUAAUCUGACCACUCUUCACUACGAAUCAAAUUUCUCAUUGUAAAAAAUUCAAAAUAUGUUCUCGUUUAUAUCAUUUGAAACUAGACUCAUUAAGAUUUAAUUACAUAAUUUAUUCAGCUUCUAACUCAUCUCCCACAAUUUAUGGUGAUUUUCCAAAAUCACGUUACUGUUGCUGUCCCAAGCAGAUUUAUUACCAAUUCACUCUUUCACACAUACCUUGCAUGCAUGUUAUUUAAACAUGCAUAUUACAACUCAAUCAUCACAUACCUAUAACUUCACUUAAGCAUAAUCUUCCUUUCAAAAUUUUAAAGCACAACAUUACUCAAUAUUAUCCAUGUUCACAUUCGGCCAUAAUACACACAACAUUUUAGCCGAUUUUUCCCCUUAGCAUCUAAGGCACAUGCAUACUCAUUUGCUUGGCUCAACUUCAUCUAUUCUCCAUUUUUCAUCAAAAGAACAUGAAACAACAACCAUUUCUCUCAUUUCCAUUCAUGACUGAAUGCUCACAACACAACCAAAUAUCAAAAAUAUGCUUCAUGGGUUAAGGUAGAAACAAGAAAAACCUAUGAACAUCAAAAUAGAAGUAAAGCAUCAUGAACUUACCUUGGAUUUUCUUCCCCAAGUGACCGAACAUUCAAGAGCUCUUUUCCUCUCCUUUCUCUUUCAUUUUUGGCUACCAUGAACAAGGAUGGACAAAACUUUUCCUUCACUUCCUUUUGUUACUCUUAUUAUUCUAAUUACCCAACAAUUUAUGACACAAAAUGGCAUAUAAUAUUUGUGCCAUACUCAUGCCAUAAUUUCAAUAAAAAAAUUUGCACAUGUUGUCUACCACCAACAUGAUGGCCGGCCACUACAUGUAAGAUGGGAGGUUUGACAUGCAAAUCCUCCUAUUUUACACUACAAAUUAUUUGGCCACUACAAUUUGGCCUAUAGCAUUUUCAAAAAUUUUCACAUAGGUCCUAUUUCAUAAUUUUACUCUCAAAUAACAAAAUCAAAGCAUGAAAUUUUCACACAUGCACUUUCACAUAUAAUAAACACAGAAUAUAACAUUUAAUUAUUUUUGUGACUCGGUUUUGUGAUCCCGAAACCACUUUUCGACUAGGGCCAAAUUAGGGCUGUCACAUGGAUAGUUAGAAUCAGGGGUACUCGAUUAAGUUUCUCAGAAAGUGGUAAACCUUUGGAAAAGAUAAUUUAGUAAGGAUGUAACACUUAUCAAGUUCCAAUAAGGACUUAGAUUACAUUAAUGGAUAAUCAAGUUAAAGAAAGAGGGAGUUUUCUUCUUCCUUCUUUAAGAAGCACUACUAUCUAAAUCUUAAGAAAAAUCUAAAGUAUUACCUUCUCUCUAAGUUGGAGUUGCAAAUCGAGAUCUCUGUUAAUGACUAUUCCAUGUCAAUGUAAGUAUUGUGACUCUGUAUGUUAAAGUUAUGAAGGAUUAAAUCUGAAUAAGUGCAUGAAUAGUAAGAUGAAGAAGUAAGGUUUAAUAUAAGGAUUACUUAGGUUUGUGAUGAUGGUAUAGGUUACGAACGAGUUUUAAACACAAAAUCUGAAGGAAAUGUCCAUGGCCAUGACACCUUCUGAAAGAAACUAAAGGACAACGAUUACCUAAUGGGGUUCUCUGCGUGUCCUGAGGCGAUGAUGGGCAAGCCUUACAUAAUGUGAGUUUAGACAAAUCCAUAUCGUAAACAUGCUAGGAAAUAAAAAACCUUUGUAGAUAAACAUGAAAAAAAAGCCUUUGUGGAAAAUCAUGAAAGAAAAGCUUUUGUUGCGAAACAUGAAAGAAAAGUUUUUGUGGCAAAUCUUGAAAGAAAAGCCUUUGUGGUGAAAUAUGAAAGGAAAGCUUUAUGGUGAAAUAUGAAAGAAAAACCUUUGUGAUGAAACAUGAAAGAAAAACUUUUGUGGCGAAAUAUGUGUAACACCCCUUACCCGUAUUCGAUACCGGAAUAGGGUACGAGGCAUUACUGGACUUAAACACAAGCAAACAUACACUUUCGGGUUAUAAAUUAGCAUUCAAAUUAAAAUUUUUGCAUUUGAUCAUAAAGUCCCUAUUACGAGCCUACGAGGCCCAAAAAUACUUUGGAAGCAGUUCGGGACUAAACCGAGAAUUUUAGAAAAUUUCACAACACUUAGAAUUUUUUUCAUGUUUUAAGAGUCACAGGCCUGUAUAGGCAGGCUGUGUGGUUACACACACCCGUGUCCCUAACCCGUGUAACUCUCUGUUUGUCACCUAAGAACAAAUUGAAGUCACACGGCCAAGUCACACACCCGUGUGCUAGGCUGUGUGGUCGAUUUAAAAUUUAUGAUUUCUAAUAAAAUAGGUGCAGACUUCACACACCCAUGCCUGAGGCUGUGUCAUCCACACGGCUGAGACACACGCCCGUGUCUCUGCCUGUGUGCUCAAAUCUGAGCAUUCUAUUUUGCAACAAUUAAGGUGUAGGGAGCACACGGUUAGAUCACACGCCUAUGGGGCAAGCCGUGUGUCUCACACGGCCUAGACACACAUGUGUGUCUACCCGUGUGGACAAAAAUAAGGCUAUUUACCAAGCCAUUUUGUCACCCUUUUAUACACACACCUACACAACAAAACAUAGCACCAUUUCAAGCAAUUAUAUUCAACCAAUUCAGCCACAAUCAAGACAUCCACACAUCAUUCACAUGCUACCAUUUACUACAUACAAACAUCACAUACUUACCAACUUAACCAUGCAAAUUUCCAUAUCUAUGAAAACAUCAUCAUAUGCACAUAUACUUAAACCAAUAUUAGCCAAUUCCAUUUAGCCAUUUACAAAAUGAAUCAUCAACCAAUAUAGGCCAACACAUUAGGCCAAAUCAAUUAUGACACAUAACAAAAUAACCAAGUCCUUAUACAUGCCAUAACUCAAAAUGUUAAAUUCUUUGGUACCCAAAAUAAUAAGUUGAUAGUGUGAGUGGAUCUCUGACGGUCUCCGAUCUCCGAGCUAGCUUGGUGACACUAUAAGACAAGAGAAAAGAAAAAGGGAGUAAGCUUUAAAGCUUAGCAAGUUCCCAUGCAAAUAAUAGGCAUCAUAAACACACAUUUAACAUAUAAUUAACAUGAUGAUAAUUAGCAUAAAUAUCAAUAAAAUCUUAUAAUCAUAACUUACUCAAUCAAAAUCUUACCGAGGGUUCGUCACAUAACAAGGUCAUUUCGUAUGAGUUUUAUGUACAUAACUGAACCAUCUUGAAUUGGAUUUACACACAAUUCAUCUUUGGCAUACUCGUUAAAUUACUCGUUGAACCACUUGGAAUACUAAAGGAUACUCGGGAGUUCUGUACACACGGUAUCAUACCAAUGCCAUAUCCCAGAUAUGGUCUUACAUGGGAUCUCGUUUCGAUGCCAAUAGCCUAGCUAUGGCCUUAUACGAAGUCUCAUAUUGAUGCCAUAUCCUAGAUAUGGUCUUACACGAAAUCUCAUAUAGAUGCCAUAUCCCAGAUAUGGUCUUACACAUAGUCUUAGUAACCCUAAUGUCAUGACAUUUGCAUCCUAUCUAUUCCUAAGGUUCAACCGGGAUUUCACUCUUGUCAUAACUUUGUCGAACAUGCUCAAUGGUCAAUCAUAAUUCAUACAAUAGUAAAGCAUUUAAAACAUAAUUAUAACAAUGCAUUAUUUACAUAAAAAUUUACCUCGGUACAAAAAACAAUAGAAAUAGGACCUAAUCAUCAAACACCUUAUUUUUCCCCUGGUCUAGGUUCGAACCUCGUUUCUCUUGAUCCAUAAUAGCAUAUUUAACUCAUUUAUUAUUGACAUUAUUCAAUUCAGCCCAAAAAUUAUACUAUGGAAAAAUUACGUUUUUGCCCUUAAAUUUUGAUAUAUUUCCAUUUAGGAACCUAGGCUCGUAAAUUGAAAUCUAUUCAAUUUCAUCAAGACCCAAGCCUAGCCAAAUGUAUUUCAUGCUUAUAAUAGCUCACAUUUUCCAUUUAAUCAAACUUUUAUACACAUUUUGAAAUAUUUUUACAAAUAGGUCCUUUUGAUAUUUUCAUUAAAAAUCACCUAGAAAAAGUUGUUUAUCUAACAUUAAACUUGCAUAAUCUACCAUUAGACAUCAAAAUACACAAAUAUCUAACAUGGGUCAAACCCUAGAUCUCAAUCAUCUCUCAAAUUAAUGGUAGAAAUAGAUAAACCGGGUGAUAACGACUUCAAAAAUAUAAAGAGACUUACAAUCGAGCUUGAACAGUGGCAAAACCCUAGAUAUGUCUCCCUUGAAAGUUUCGGCCAAGCAUGAAGAAGAUGGACUAAAUUUUGACUUGAUUUUUGGUUUUGAAUUCAUUUAAUUACCAAAUGAUCAAAAUGCCCUUUUUUCAAAACACUAAAAUUCUCUUACCUCAUGUCUAUUUUUGUUCAAUUUAAAGUAAAAUGGUCUAAUUACCAUCUAAGGACCCUUCGAUUUAAAAUUUCAUAACAAUUAGCCACCUCUGGCAUGUAGAACUCAACUUUUUCACUUUUUACAAUUUAGUCCUUUUUGCUAAAUUGAGUGCUCAAACAUCAAAAUUUUCGAACAAAAUUUUUACGAAAUCAUUCCAUAAAACUGUUGACCUUAAAAAUGUAAUAAAAACAAGUUUUACUACGUCAGAUUAGUGGUCUCGAAACCACUAUUCCAACUAGGCCCAAAAUCGGGCUGUUACAUCUCUCCCCCUUUAAGGAUUUUCGUCCUCGAAAAUCUUACCAGAAAAUAGGUUUGGGUAUUGUUUUCUCAUAGCCUCCUCGGGUUCUCAUGUAACCUCUUCAACCCCAUGUUGUUGCCAUAACACUUUCACUAGGGCUAUACUCUUAUUUCCCAACUGUUUAACUUCUCGAGCUAAGAUCUUUAUAGGUUCUUCACCAUACGUCAUAUCCGGUCGAAUCUCAAUCUCUAAUAGAGAAAUCACAUGCGAAGGAUCAGAAUGAUAUCGUUGCAACAUCGAUACAUGAAACACAUAGUGAAUACUUUCCAACUCUUUCGGUAAAGCUAACUGAUAUGCCACUAGCCCUAUUCUUUCAAUAACCUCAUAUGGCCCAAUGAAAUGUGGACUCAACUUGCCUUUACGGCCAAAUCUCAGAAUCUUCUCUCACGGAGAUAGUUUCAAAAUACUUUAUCACCAACCUGAAACUCAAUCUCUUUUCUUUUCAAAUCCGCAUAAGACUUUUAUCGAUCUGAAGCUGCUUUCAAACAAUCACGGAUUACCUUUACAUUUUCUUCGAUUUCUCUGACCAAAUCAACCUCGCGAUUCUGUUUCUCACUAAGCUUGGUCCAAUACAAGGUGUUUGGCACUUGCAGCCAUACAAUGCCUCAUAAGGCGCUAUCUUUAUACUCGACUAAAAGCUAUUGUUAUAAGCAAACUUGACUAAUGGUAGAUAUUUUUCCCAACUACCCUCAAAUUCUAGAACACAACAUCGGAGCAUAUCUUUGAGUACCUGAAUCAUUCUUUCAGACUGACCUUCGGUUUGUGGAUGAAAUGCGGUACUAAAUUUCAACUUCACACCCAAAGCCUCUUGGAACAUUUUCCAAAAUCUCGAAGUGAAUCUCGGAUCUUUAUCCGAAAUAAUAGACAUAGGUACUCCGUGGAAUCUCCCAAUCUCUGAAAUGUACAAUUUGGCUAACUUGUCAAGUGAGUAGUCAGUACGUACCGGAAUAAAAUGAGCCGAUUUUGUCAAUCUAUCAACAAUGACCCAAAUGGCAUCUUUCUUUUUCAAAGUCAAAGCCAAACCCAUUACGAAGUCCAUCGUAAUUAUAUCCCAUUUCCAUUCAGGUACCAUCAUUGGCUGAAGUAAACCCGAAGGCACUCGGUGUUCAGCUUUCACUUGUUGACAAAUCAAACACUUCGAAACAAACUAAAAAAUAUCUCGUUUCAUACCUGACCACCAAUACAAUUUCUUCAAAUCAUUAUACAUUUUUGUACUACCCAGAUGCACAGAUAAACAAAUAUUAUGUGCUUCAUGAAGAAUUUUCUGAGUAAGUUCAUCAUUUUUCGAUACACAAAUUCUGCUUCAAAUCAUCAAACAAUCAUCGGAUUCAAUAUGAAAAUCUAACUCACUACCCGAUUCACAAUGAACUCUUUUGGCUAGCAAAUCACUAUCACAUUUCUGAGCUUCACAAAUUUGUUGAAGAAACAACGAUCUAACUCUCAACUCGGCUAGGAUCGAACCAUUAUAUGGUAAAUUCAACCUUGUAUUCAUCGCUCUCAAAGCAAACCAAGUCUUUCUACUAACGUAUCUACGACUACAUUUGCCUUACCCAGGUGAUAAUUAAUUUCUAGCUCGUAAUCCUUCUGUAACUCAAGCCAUCUCCGUUGCCGCAAGUUCAAAUCUUUUUGAGUCAUCAAGUAUUUUAAACUCUUAUGAUCAAUAAAGAUAUAGCAUCUUUUACCGUACAAAUGAUGUCUCCAAAUUUUUAAAGCAAACACAAUGGCGGCUAAUUCCAAAUCAUGUGUCAGAUAAUUCUUCUCAUGCAGUUUCAACUAUCUCGAGGCAUAAGCUAUCACUUUGCCCUCUUGCAUCAACACACAUCCCAAUCCAUUUAGUGACGCGUCACUAUAAAUUACGAAUUCUUUUCCCGGUUUAGGUUGCACUAAAAUCAGUGUCUCAGUCAAUAAUGCUUUCAAUUUCUCGAAACUUUGCUAACAUUUUUUCGACCAUUCAAACUUAACAUCUUUUUGCAACAGCUUGGUAAUAGGAGUAGAAAUCAUCGAAAAUCCUUUGACGAAACAUCGGUAAUAUCCGGUUAAGCCCAAAAAACUUCUAACUUUAGAUACAUUUCUCGAUGGUUUCCAAUCAACAAUAGCCGAAAUCUUACUUAGAUCAAAUCGAAUACCAUCACCUGAAACAAUAUGUCCCAAAAAUCUGACUUCUCGGAGCCAAAAUUUGCUUUUACUAAAUUUAGCAAACAACUGCUUAUCUCUCAAAGUGUAAUAUAGUCCUCAAGUGCUCAGCAUGCUCGAACUCGUCUCGAGAACAAAUUAGAAUGUCAUUAAUAGACACAACUACAAACUUGUCCAAAUAUAGUCAAAAAAUUCUAUUCAUCAAGUUCAUAAAGACAGCAGGUGCAUUUGUUAAUCCAAAAGGCAUAACAAGGAAUUCAUAAUGCCCAUACCUUGUUCUAAAAGUGGUUUUUGGUACAUUUGACUCUUUAACUCUCAACUGAUAGUAGCCAUAUCUCAAAUCAAUCUUCGAGAAUACUGUUCCCCUUUUCAAUUGAUCAAACAAGUCAUCAAUUCUCGGCAUAUGAUAUUUGUUCUUUAUAGUCACCUUGUUGAGCUAACAGUAGUCAAUACAAAGCCUCAUGGAUUUGUCUUUCUUCCUUACAAAUAACAUUAGAGCACCCCAGGGGGAAACACUUGGUCUCGCAAAACCCUUUUCUGUCAACUCUUGCAACUGAGCUUUUCAUUCUUUCAAUUCAGUGAGGGCCAUCCUAUAUGGAGCAAUAGAUAUCGGCGAGGUCUCUGGUACUAAAUCAAUACCAAACUCGACUUCUUUAACUGGUGGUAACCCGGAAAACUCUUCUGGGUAUACAUCUGGAUAUUCACAAACUAUCGGCACUGAUUCAAUUUUCAAUUCAGACAUAUUUGUAUUCAACACAUAAGCAAGAUAAGCUUCACAACCUUUCCUUAUAUAUUUCUUAGCAGACAUCAAAGAAACCACAACAAGUAACUCACCCGAUUCAUCAGAAUCAAUCCAAAGAAUUUCACCAUUUUCACAUUUCAGUUCAAUAAUCUUUCUUUUACAUUUCACAACGGCAUCAUGCAGCGUCAACCAAUCCAUACCCAAUAUAACAUCGAAUUCAUCAAAUGGCAACAAUGUCCUCGAAUCCUCAAGGGACAAUUCUUGCAAACUUUAUCAACUAACACAUGUUUGCCUAAAGGGUUUGACACACAGGCAAGCUCUUACUACUUACCAAUUUCACACAAACAUAAGCAUGGGUCGAUCCAGGAUCAAUCAAUGAACUACAUUAGCAUUAUAGAGAAAAAAGUACCAGUGAUAACAUCAGGAGAUGUCACUUCUUCUCGAGCACGGAUGGCAUAGGCUCUAGCAGGUGUUCGAGAGUCGAAUCUCACAGCUGAAUCCUUCGUCACACCUUUACUACUAGCUCCAUUUCCAGUAUUCCUCGGUGCCCUACCCCUAUUAGUAGCAUUACUCGGCCUUGCACUCUGAAAUUCUUCUUUCUCAGCCAUUUCAAGGAAAUCUCUGAUAAAAUGCUCUUGAGAGCCACACUUGAAACAAGCCCGAUCAUUUAUUCUACACUCACCGGGGUGACGUCUGCCACAAUGCUUACAUUUAGGUCUGUUAGGCCUCACAUUACCCACACUUUCCAUUGAAGUGGCAUGAGGUUUAAAACUCAAGUAUUGCUUCCCUCGAUCUCUGUGAGAAUACCCAGUUGAUACAUUCAAGCAGGAAUACAUUUCUUUAGAUUUCUUUGAAUGAGAUGGAAACAACUUACUUAUCGGUCUUUUUCUCAAAUCUUUAGUUUCACAAUCAGCUUUCCUCUUUUCUUUAUUCUACUCUUUAGCCUUACAAGCUCGCUCGACCAAUGCUACAAAUUCUUUCAAUUCUAAGAUCCCAACUAACACACGAAUAUCCUCAUUCAAUCCAUCCUCAAAUCUCUUACACAUGAUAGCCUCAGUGGAAACACACUCUCGGGCAUAUUUACUAAGUUUGACAAAUUCUCGCUUAUACUUUAUCAUUGUCAUACAACCCUGUUUCAGCUCAAUAAAUUUCUUACGUUUCUGAUCGAUGAGCCGCUAACUAAUAUAUUUCUUUUGGAACUUUUCCUGAAAGAAUUCCCAUGUAACCCUCUCUUAUAGUACCACCGAUACCAGUGUAUUCCACCAAUGAUAUGCAGAAUCUCUCAGAAUUGAGAUAGCACACUUUAAACACUCAUCCGGUGCGUAAGAGAACUUAUCAAAUAUCCUGAUGGAGUUUUCGAGCCAAAACUCGGCUCUCUCGAGCUCAUUAUCCAUAUUAGCUCUGAAAUCUUCAGUUCCAUGCUUACAGAUCUUAUCAACCGGGGGCUUAUUCAUUCUUACAAAUUCCAUACCUUGUGGAGCUACGGGAACAGGUUGAGGAAUAGGUGAGGGUGGAGGAGGUUGGGCAUUCGAAUUUGUUUGAACAAAUUUCGUAUACCACUCAUUCAUCAUAUGGAGAAAGGCUUCCCUACCCCCUUCUUCCUGACUAAUCGUUAGGGGUCUACUAUCAGAGGGCGCUGCCCCUUGAGCGGGAGCUGGUGCAUUACUUUCAACGUCAUCACCGUCAGCUACGUUAUGACAUGUAUAGCUAGACUCUUACACACGCUACGUUAGUCCAAGAAUUGACUAAAUUAUAGCUCUGGUGCCACUAAAUGUAACACCUCUUACCAGUAUUUGACGCCGGAAAAGGAUACGAGGCAUUAACGGACUUAAACACAAGCAAACAUACACUUUCGGGUUAUAAAUUUACGUUCAAAUUUAAAUUUUUGCAUUUAAUCAUAAAGUCCCUAUUAUGAUCCUAUGAGGCCCAAAACAUAAUUUGGAAGCGGUUCGGGACUAAACCGAGAAUUUUAGAAAAUUUCACAACACUUAGAAAAUUUUUCAUUUUUUAAGAGCCACAUGCCCGUAUGGGCAGGCCGUGUGGUCACACACGCCCGUGUCUCUAACCCGUGUAACUUUUGUUUGUCACCUAAGAACAAAUUGAAGUCACAUAGCCAAGUCACACGCCUGUGUGCUAGGCUGUGUGGUCGAUUUAAAAUUUAUGAUUUUUCAUAAAACAGGUGCAGACUUCACAUGCCCAGGGCACACGCCUAUGCCUGAGGCCGUGUUAUCCACACAGCUAAGACACACUCCCGUGUCUCUACCCAUAUGCUCAAUUCUGAGCAUUCUGUUUUGCAACAAUUAAGGUGCAGGGGAUAGAUGGGCGGGUCAUACGCUCAUAGGGCAAGCCGUGUGUCUCACAUAGCCUAGAGACACGCCUCUGUGUCUACCCUUGUGGACAAAAAUAAGGUUAUUUUCCAAGCCAUUUUGUCACCCUUUUAUGAACACACCUACAUAACAAAACAUAGCAGCAUUUCAAGAAAAUACAUUCAACAAAUUCAGCCACAAUCAAGACAUCCACACAUCAUUCACAUACAACCAUUUACUACAUACAAACAUCACAUACUUAUCAACUUAACCAUGCAAAUUUCCACAUCCAUGAAAACAUCAUCAUAUGCUCAUAUAUUUAAACCAAUAUUAGCCAAUUCCAUUUGGCCAUUUACAAAAUGAAUCAUCAACCAAUAUAGGCCAAUACAUUAGGCAAAAUCAAUUAUGACACAUAACAAAAUAACCAAGUCCCUAUACAUGCCAUAACUCAAAAUGUUAAAUUCUUUGGUACCCAAAAUAAUAAGAUGAUAGUGUGAGUGGAUCUUUGAUGGUCUCCGAUCUCCGAGCUAUCUUGGUGAAACUAUAAGACAAGGGAAAAGAAAAGGGAAGUAAGCUUUAAAGCUUAGCAAGUUCCCAUGCAAAUAAUAGGCAUCAUAAACACACAUUUAACAUAUAAUUAACAUGAUGAUAAUUAGCAUAAAUAUCAAUAAAAUCUUAUAAUCAUAACUUACUUAAUCAAAAUCUUACCGAGGGUUUAUCAUAUAACGAGCUCAUUUCGUAUAAGUUUUAUGUAAAUACCUGAAUCAUCUCGAAUUGGAUUUAUACACAAUUCAUCUUUGACAUACUCAUUAAAUUACCCGUUGAACCACUUAGAAUACUAAAGGAUGCUUGAGAGUUCUAUACACACGAUAUCAUACCAAUGCCAUAAGUAACACUCCUUACCCGUAUUCGACACUAGAACAGGUACGAGGCAUUACCAGAUUUAAACUCAAACAAAAAUACAAAACCGAGACAUGAAUUUCUACUCAAAUUUAAAACUUUUCACAUGUAUUCUUAUCAUCCCUAUUACGGGCUUAUGAGGCCCAAAACAUACAUUGGGAACAAUUCGGGACUAAACCGAGAACAUUGGAAACAUUUUGGAAACUUAGAUAUAAUUUUUCAUGCAAAAAGAGUCACACGCCCGUGUGGGUAGGCCGCAUGGUCACACACGUCCGUGUCCCUAACCCGUGUAACUCUCUGUUUAAACGCAUCAACAAAUUGAAGUCACACGGCCAAGUCACACGCCCAUGUCUCUACCCGUGUGCUCGAUACUAAACAUUCUAUUUUGCAACAAUUAAGGUGCAGAGGACACACGGCUGGAACACACGCCUAUGGAGCAAGCCAUGUGUCACACACGGCCUAGACACGCACCCAUGUGUCUACCCGUGCGGACAAAAUAAAAGCUAUAUGCCAAGCCAUUUGCCACAUUUAUUCACACAUAACUUAUGCCAAUUCAAAGGCACCAAACAUAAAAUACUUGGCAUCCAAUACCAUCAUAACUGAGGCUUAAACAUGUCAUUUAAAAGCCAACAUCUAUCAUGCUUACAACAUCAUACUUUGCCAAACUCAAACAUACCACAAGCACAUCCAUAAUUAAGACAAUAACAUGACAUCCUCAUGCCAUUAUUUAUCAUGCAUAGAACAUCAACCUUUCCACACCAAACAUGCAAAAUUUCACAUUCACAAAUGGCAUUAAUAUGUGAAUAUACUCAUAACCAAUAUUAGCUAACCUCCAUGGCUUUAUACAAAAAUGAACUAAACACCAUUGCAAGUCAACACAUAUAGCCAAAUUAAUAAUGACAUAUAUAACCAAAAUACCAAUUCCAAUACAUGCCAUAAACUCAAAAUAAUUGAAUUCAUUAAUACCCAAAGUGAUAGCUGGAUAGUGUGAUAGGAUCUCCGACUACCUCUAACCCGAGCUAGCUUAUUAACCUAUAAGACAUGGGAAAGGAAGGGGGUAAGCUAUAUAGCUUAGUAAGUCCGUAUGAAAAUAACAAGCAACUCUUACCAAUCAUUUACCAAGUUUAAUAAUAUAAACACAAUGUAAUAUAAACUGCUAUAAUCUUCACAAUUAUAAUUUACUCAAUCAUAUAGUUUGCUCUAUCAAUUUGCAAACAUAGUUUAACAUGUUUUGACAUUAGCCUAAGAGUUGUAAUCUCUCCGUUAACACAGAUAUCCAAAAUCAACCAAUCAUUUCAAACCUUAUAAUAAACAUGAGCAUUCUCAUUAGUAUUCAUCUUUCAAGCAUAUAUUUUAACGUCAUUCAAUGUUUAAAACUUAUAUCUCCUCAUACUUCUAUAAUCAUUUUAAUAUGGGCAUUUAUGCCAAUAUUUUCUUUUUCUCAUAUAUGAUAAUUCACAUAUUGUGCAAUAAAACAUAAUUUGUCAUAACUUAAUUUUGGCCCAAAAGCCAAUUACACAACUGCCAAUCGAAUUUACCAUGAACUCACAAUAUCAUGAAAUCAAUGCUUGUAAACUUAUGUACAUACCUGUACAAAUCUGUAACAUAGUCAUAGACUUUGUCAUCUUUGACAUACUCUUCGGAUUACCCGUUGAACACUUGGAAUAAUAUCGGAUACACGGAAAGUCUUGCACAUAAAUGCCACAUAUGUAGCCAAUGCUACCUCAUAUCUCGUAACACAUAGGGUUCACAGAUGAGCUAAUCACGAGCUUGCUCACAAAAGCUGUCAGUCAAGACGUAACUACACGGGCUGCUCACACAAGUUGUCAGGUAUCCGCAACACAUGCCGGACUACCCAGCCACCGGUAGGACGUACAUGACUAGCACCCAGAUUGAAAUAGAUCACAUAACGCAUGGUAUCUUAGUGACAUGUUACUUUUAUCCUAAUCUAUUCCUAAGGUUCAAAUGGAAUUUCUCAUUGUACCGAUUCUCUAUCGAUCAUUUUCGUAGUACUGUACUCAAUAAUAUUCACAUUUCAUUUCAAUAAUAUAUCACUUAUCAAAAAUAUAACAAUUAAGCAUUAAUACAUAAAUAAUUUAUUUCUUAUUAAACAUACGAACUUACCUCGAAUGCGACAACGAUGAAAAGGACCUAUUUGUCCAAUAUUUGUUUUUCUCUCGAUCUAGACUCGAACUUUAUUUUUCUUGAUCUAUAAUAUCAAAUUUAGCCCACUUAUUAGUCACAUUAUUUAAUGUGACCCAAAAAUCAUAUUAUUGAAAAAUUACUUUUUUGCCUCUAAAGUUUCACAUAUUUAUAUUUUUGCCCCUAAGCUCAAAAAAUGAAAUUUAUUCAAUUUCUUUAACAUACAAGCCUAGCCGAAUCAUUUUCAUAACUAUAACAGCCGACACUUUCCAUUAAAACACACUUUUACUACAUAUUUUAUAACUUUUACAAAUUAGUCCUUUUAAGCAUUUUCACUGAAAAUCACUUAGCAAAAGUCGUUUAACAAACAACUAACAUGCAAUUUCUACCAUCAAUUAUCAAAAUACACAAAUAUUCAACAUGGGUAAAAAUUUAAACUUUGACAUCUCUUCAAAUUAGUGGUAGAAAUAGGUAGAUCUUGUUACGAGGAUUUCAAAAACAUAAAAAUCAUUAAAAAACGGGACUAGAACGGACUUACUAUGGAGCUUGGAAAGCAUGAAAAAAACUCUAGCCAUGGUGGUCUUCAAAAAUUCAGCCAAGGGGUUGAAGAUGAGCAAAAUUUGGCUUUUAUUUUGUUUAUUUAAUCAACUAAUUACUAAAUGACCAAAAUGCCCCUCACUUAAAAAUAUUCUAUUUCACCUAUUUAAUGUCCAUUUUUGUUUAACAAAUUAACCAAUGGUCUAAUUACCAUUUAAGGAUCUAUAAUUUAAAAUUUCAUAACAAUUGGACGCCUCUAGCUUCUAGAACUCAAGUUUUGCACUUUUUACAAUUUAGUCCUUUUGACUAAAUUGAGUGCCCAAACGUCAAAAUUUUCAAACGAAAUUUUCACAAAAUAAUUCCAUAAAAUUUUAGACCAUAAAAAUAUAAUAAAAACAAUUUUUCCUAUGUCAGAUUUCUGGUCCCGAAACCACUGUUCCAACUAGGCCCAAAAUCAGGUUGGUACACCAUAUCCCCAAUAUGGUCUUACAUGGGAUCUCAUUUCGAUGCCAAUAACCCAGCUAUGGUCUUACACGAAGUCUCAUAUCGAUGCCAUAUCCCAUAUAUAGUCUUACAUGAAAUCUAAUAUAGAUGUCAUAUCCCAGAUAUGUCUUACACAUGGUCUUAGUAACCUUAAUGUCAUGACAUUUGUAUCCUAUUUAUUCCUAAGGUUCAACCGGGAUUUCACGCUUGUCGUAACUUUUUCGAACAUGCUCAAUGGUCAAUCAUAACUCAUACAAUAUUAAAGCAUUUAAAACAUAAUUAUAACAAUGCAUUAUUUACAUAAGAACUUACAUCGGUACAAAAACAGUAAAAAUAGGACCAAAUCGUCAAACACCUUGUUUUUCCCCCGAUCUAGGUCCGAACCUUGUUUCUCUUGAUCUAUAAUAGCAAAUUUAACUCAUUUAUUAUUCACAUUAUUCAAUUCAGCCCAGAAAUUAAAUUAUGCUAAAAUUACGUUCUUACCCCUAAACUUUGACAUAUUUACACUUUGGUCCCUAGGCUCGUAAAUUGAAAUCUAUUCAAUUUCAUCAAGACCCAAUCCUAUUCGAACCUUUUUCAUGCUUAUAACAGCUCACGUUUUCCAUUUAAUCACACUUCUAUACACAUUUUGAAGUCUUUUUACAAAUAGGUCCUUUUGAUAUUUUCAUAAAAAAUCACCAAGCAAAAGUUAAUAAGUCAGAUUCGUGGUCCCAGAACCACUAUUCUGACUAGGCCUAAAAUUGGGCUGUUACAAUAUGAAAAGAAAGCCUUUGUGGAAAAACAUGAAAGAAAAGCCUUUGUAUCGAAUCAUGAAAGAAAAGCCCUUGUGGUGAAAUAGAAAAGAAAAUCCCUUGUGGCAAACCUUGCAAGGAUAGCCUUUGUGGCAUACUCAGGAUGAAAUGCCUUAUGGUGUGUCUUAAUAGGACUCUCAAUGAAGAGCUUGAAGGAUAUUCUUUGUGGCGUGUCACAAUAAAGCCUUCAUGGCGUAUUCUAACAAAUUUCCUUAGUGGCGCAUUCUAUAUGACUCUUAAGUGUAAUCAGUGGAGUUAGUAAGGACAAAGUUUAUAUAUGGACUAGAUGGUAAAGUAUUAUAGAAGAAUAAGAUUUUAUCAGAAAUAAUGAAUUGAAGAGAAAUAGAGAUGUAAUGUGUUAGCAUUGAAAAUGUAUUCUGCUAGGGGCAUGAAUUUGUAUGAUCAAAGGAAGUACCUGUGAUAUGCAUAUGUGUUGCUUCUAGAAUUGUGAUGAGGUGAUGACUCAAAGAUUGAAGGAUUUAAGUGAUUUAUCGAAGACAUUUGUUCAGAAAAGGAAAUAACUUCAGAGUGAGGUAUAGUAUCAAACAAGUAUAAUAGAAUAAAACUUGAGGAAAUAUUCAUCAGAGACAAAUUUGAAGGUUAAGAAUGAUAAGAUUGUCUAUAUAAAUUAUUGGUUGCAAAAUGAAAAUAUGAAUCAGGUAAAUGCCGUUUUUCUCACUAAGUUCUUAUGAGCUUAAAUGAGUUUAUACUUUUUUUAAGCUAGGAGAAACGAUACGAGGACUACGACAAAGGAAAAGGUGUAUCGGGUUUUAUGCAUGUAGAGCACGUUUGGCGGCGUAUUCAAAGUUUGAAUUAUCACUGAGAAUUCUAUACUUGGGGUGUCUGUAAUAGAUUAGGAUUUGAAAUCAAAUAUCAUUGUAAUUUAAUUACCACGUGUUGUAGUUGCAUUUACUUCUUGUAUAUGCUUAUGUAUUCAAGUUAAAAAUUUUAUAAUUAAGUAAGUUGUAAUUUAUUGUAAUUCGUAUAAGUGAACUAAGUUUGUGUCUGUAUUUGUUUGGUAAUACCCAAUAUCUGGAUUUGGUUAUUCGGAUUGGGUUAAAGGAGUCAUAAGUCUGGUAUUAGAGCUUGGUUUAGUCGGUUCUUGGACCACAAAGGUAAAGAAGCCUUGAAAGCAUAAUACAUCAAACCCACUUCCACUCUGGAAUCAUCACAGAUUGUAAUAAAGUGGAAGGUACCUGAUGUUCGGCUUUAGCUUGCUAACAGAUUAAGCAUUUUGAUAUGAACUCUGAAAUCUCUCGUUUCAUGCCUAGCCACCAGUACAUCUGUUUCAAAUCACCAUACAUUUUAUUGCUAUCAGGAUAUAUCAAUAAGGUACUGCUAUGAGCUUCUUGUAAAAUCUUCUAAAUAAGAUCAGGUUUCUCGAAACACAAAUUCUAUUUUUGAAGUACAAACUAUCGUCCAAACCAACAUGAAAAUUUGAAUUAGAUGUCGACUUAAUCUGUUUCUGUUUGGCAAUCAAUUUAUCGUCACUUUUCUGAGCUUCACUAAUUUUUUGCAAAAUUGUUAGUUUAGCCUUUAAUUCAACUAAAAUUGAACCAUCACUAGUUAACGUCAACCGUGUGUUCAAAACUAGCAAAGAAAAUAGAGAUUUUCUACUCAAAGCAUCAGUAACAACAUUAGCCUAUCUCAGAUGAUAAUCAAUGAUCAAAUCAUACUCUUUUACUAACUCAAGCCAUCUACGAUGUCUCAAAUUCAAAUCUUGUUGUGACAUCAAACUUCAGGCUUUUUUGAUCUAUGAAAAUAUGACAAUUUUUUCCGUACAAAUGGUGUCACCAAAUGUUUAAAGCAAACAUAAUAGUUGUAAGUUCUAAAUCAUGAGUCGGGUAAUUCUUUUCGUGCAGUUUCAAUUGUCACAAAGUAUACACUAUCAGUUUGCUUUAUUGCAUCAAAACACAAUCUAAACUAUUUAAUGAAGCAUCACUAAAAAUAAAAAAUCCUUUACCAGACUCUGGUUGAACCAACACAAGUGCCUCGGUUAACAACGCUUUCAACUGGCUAAAACUUUCCUAACAAUUCUCAGACCAUUCGAACUUGACAUCUUUUUGUAGCAGUUUUUUCAAUGGCGUAGCAAUCAUCAAAAAUCCCUUUACAAAUCUUCUAUAAUAUUUGACUAAACCCAGAAAAAUUUUGACACAUUUCUUGGAGGUUUCUAGUCCACUAUAGUUGAGAUUUUACUCGGAUCAACUUUAGUACUUUCUGCCGACACUACGUGUCCCAAAAAUCCAACUUCUCAGAGCCAGAGGUCACAUUUGCUAAACUUAGUGAACAACUGUCUUUCGUGAAAAGUCUGCAAAAUAACUUUCAAAUGCUGGUGUAACACCCCGAAUUUGGGCCUAGAAGUAUUGGGCCUUGAGUGGGGGUCCAUAAGGAGGUUGUAUAUAGGUAUUUAAUUGUGUAAUGAAAUGAAACAAUUAAAUGUUUGCUUUAGUGGUUAAUGGCUUUGAGAAGUGUUGGAGAAAUCUUGGGUUCAAACUUGGGCUUUAGCAAAAAUUUUGGUAUUAAAUGAAAAAAACAUGGAUGCUUGGAUGAGGGCCUUUUAAAUUAUUGUGUUAAAUAAAUGACACAAGGAGCAAUGUGGUCUAGUGGAAGUGGCGUAAUUAAGGUUGUAUGGGAGCCUGGGUUCAAGUCUUGGCUCUUGCAAUUUAUUCUUUUUUUUUAAGGGAACCUGGACUUUGGCCUUUAGACCUUAUAAUUAAUUGGGGAUAAAAUAAGACACAAAAAGAACCUGUGGUGAAGUGGCAAGGUGGCGUCAUAGAGUUGGCAAGGAGGUCCAGGGUUCGAAACUCAUGGCAAUCAAAGAGCAUUUAUUUUGCUAACAGGGGGCGGCAAGAGUUGGUGUUGAAUUUAAACUCUGAUGUUGGAAGGAUCCCACAUCGGGAAGCUAACAUAAGAGUGGAUGCGAAGCUGGCUUUAAAUAGAGAGAACCAUGAGGAGAGUAAAGGUACCUUUCUUGGCUGAUCCCUUUCGCUGUAUGGAGUGCUUGUUUGGGUUGGGCGUCGGCUAAGAGUGCUCAGAGCGUGGAUUAACUCCAGUCUCCUAUCAGGUGUGUAUUUCUCACUACUCUAGUUGUAGGAUGGCUACUUCGGGCCGCGAUGGGCCGAAAGGGGCCAUGUGGGCCCAAUGGGCCUACGAGCCCAAUUGGAUAAGUUGUUUGAUUGUGUAGUAAAUAUUGGACUAGGCUAGGUGAAUCUCAUAUUUGUGGCUAGAUUUGGGCUAAAAGGGCCACACGAGCAUGUGGGCCUAUUUGGGCCGAGAAUAGGCUUUAGGGCCAUUCGUUUGUUAUCCCUGUUUAGAAUACUUUAGUUUACCAAUUACAAAAAUGCCCUCGACUUGUAAAAUUACCAAAGUACCCUUGAUUUAUAGAAUCAUUGUUUUACCCUUGAUUUACAGAAUUACUGUUUUACCCUCGACUUACAAAAUUACCGUUUUACCCUCAAUUGUGAAAUUACUAAAAUACCCCUAUAGGAUAGAAUUACCAAAAUACCCCUAAUUUACAAAAUUACAGAAAUACCCUUGACUUUCUAAAAAUUAUAGAAAUACCAUUGGUUUACAAAAUUACUGAAAUACCCUUAGUUUGUAGAUUUACCAAAACACCCUUGUAGGAUGAAAUGACUAAAAUACCCCUAAUAGGUAAAAAGAUCGUAAAGCCCCUGUAGGGUAAAGUGACCGUAAUACCCCUGUAUGGUAAAAUAAUGAAUAUGCCCUUAUGUUCCGUAUGACUGAUGUGCUUAGGAUUUACAUAUAUUGAUAUUGGAUUAGUUAAGUUUGAGUGAUAGGUGGUGGUUAUCGUAGGUGAUUGAUAUUGGAAACGUUUCAACUUCAACCCAUAACAGGUGUGUAAUAACCCUCGCAGUAGCUUAGAUUAAUAUUCGCCGAAAUGCCGAAAUGCUAAAAUUUCGGCAUUUCGGGAACUUGUGAUGUUGCCUUUGCUUAAUGAUGCGAUAGAUAUGAUAUGAUCGGUGUUUGGAUUGAUGGAGCAGGUAAGAGCGCAAUUUUGUGCACGAUGGUAAGUUCGGCCUCAAUGGGCUGGAAUCGGGCCCAAUGGGCUUUCGAGCCCAUUUGGGUAAAACUGAUAGAAAAUGGAAUCUGGAAAAGUUGCAUGUUAACACGAUUAGUACUGUUGUAAAAUUUGGAUUAAGCAGGCUUAGUGGGCUAAAUCAGCAUUCGUAGGGCCCAUUAGGGGUUUUGGGCCUAAAAGCCCGAAUUUGAUAAAGUGGGUUAAAGAUCAUUGUUUAAACACUCGGAAAUAUUGAUAAUUGUUAAUGAACAUGGAAAACACUAAUAUUUGGUAAAAUUACGAAAUUACCCUUAUAAUAAGAAAAAUGACUGUUUUGCCCUUGUGGGCAAGUGACUAACUUGUACUAUAUGGUUGAUGCAUUUGAUUGUGAAUAUAUGUUGGUGAUAUGAAUGACUUGACUGUGAUUGUUUGAUUCAAAUAUGGGCAUGACAUUCUGCAUACAUGACAUGUUGCAUGGGUUGGGUUUUAUAAAUGGAGGAAGUGCUAAAAGGGCUAUGCCCCAGUUUACCGAAAAGGGCUUUUCCCCAGUUUAUAAAAAAGGGCUUUGCCCCAGUUAUUAAAAGAGGCUAGGCCUCCAGUUAUAUGAUAAAGCAGCUAUGCUGCUAGUGGAGAGUUUGGUUGGGUGGGUUGAGUUAUUCCCCACACGGUGUGUUGGUUGGUACGGGUGGAGAGUAGCGGAUGGUGGGUUGAGUAGUCUCCCCAAAUGGGCUUGCAUACAUUCAUUGAUAUUACAUGUGAUAUUGAAAUGGGCCUAUGGGCCAUACCGCUUACAGUAAAGGCUUCGGCCCAGUAUAUGUCGAGACUGAAUUAGGGCUUAGGCCCAUACUGCUACUGUUUAAGGGCUAAGGCCCAGACUGUACUGUUACUGAAUAGGGCUUUGGCCUAGAUUGUACUGACACUGUGUUAUUCACUGUUUGUUUGUUGUUGGGGAUUACACACUGAGUUUUCAUAAACUCACUGUGACAGCCCAAAAUUGACCCUAGUCGGGAAGUGGUUUCGGGACCGCUAAACCGAGUCACCGAAAUGUUUGAAUGUGAUAUUUAUUGUCUAGAAUAUGUAAUUAUGAAUGUGUGAACAUUUCAAGCUUCGAUUUAGUCGAUUGCAUGUGAAUUUAGUCAAUAGGACUUAUGUGCGACAUUUUUAAAAUAUGAUAGGUCGAAGCAUAAGGACCUAUUAGUGCAUGAAAUAAAAAGGGGGACUUGCAUGUCAAAUUUCCCCCCCUAAUUAGUAGUGGCCGGCCAUGACAAGCAUGGUAGACCAAGUGUGAUGGGCAAGACAUGUCAUAGACAUGUUGUGUUGGUGCAUCAUGGGUGGAAAAAAAUAAAAUAAGGAGAAUGGGCAUAAAAUAAUGAAAAGGAAUAUGAUGGAAACAAAAAAAAAGUGUGUGGUUGUCUUCCCCCCCCCCCAUUUUGCCGAAACUAGAAAGAAAAACAAAAAAAAGUGCUCAUCCUUUGGUUCAUCUUUGGCCAAAAAUUUUAAGGAGGGAGGAAGAAGAAAGGUUGAAGAGGUUCGGCCAUGCAUGUAACUAGGCUAAGGUAUGUUUGAUGAUGUUCCAUGAGAUGCAUGCAUGUUUUAAGUUGUAAGUUUGAAAUCUACCUAGCCAUGGUUCAGAUUUUGUUAAUUGAUGGAGAUGAUAUUCGGCCAUGAAUGUUACAUUCUUGGUUGGUAUUUUGAUGUUUUUGGUGAUGAGGUAUGAAGAUGGUUGAUUUUGAGUGUUUAAUAAAAAGGAUACAUGAAUUAUUGUUAAAUAAUGGUCGAAUGUAGCAUGAUUAAAGAUGUGAAUAAAUUGAAGUUAAGGAGGUUGUCAAUGAAAAAUAUGAGUUCUUGGAAUUUCGAAAGAAAUAUAUUAGUCAACGGUUCAUUGAUCAAAAGCGUAAGGAAUUCUUGGAACUCAAGCAAGGCCGUAUGACAGUAUCUGAAUACGAACAUGAAUUCCUAAGACUCAGUAGGUAUGCCCGGGAGUGUGUAGCUAAUGACGUUGCUAUGUGCAAAAGAUUCGAAGAAGGAUUGAAUGAAGAUUUAAAGCUACUAGUUGGUAUUUUGGAGAUAAAAGAAUUUGUAACACUAGUCGAACGAGCCUGCAAGGCGGAAGAACUUGGAAAGGAGAAGAAGAAGGCUAAAUUUGAAGCUAGAGACUAUCGUAAAAGAUCGACGGGUAAAGCUCCGUUCUCAGCUGUAAAGAAGUUCAGGGAGGACACUAAUAAGUCGAGGACGACUGUGGGAAUUUCCAUCAGAGCACGACCAUCGAUGGACUCCCGAGCUACUUCGGUAGCUAGUGUGGGCAAUAAUCAUCAAGAGAAACCUGAAUGUCCCCAAUGCGGAAGACGACACCUAGGUGAAUGUUGGGGUAAGUCUAUUAACAGGGCCUGUUACGGAUGCGGUUCGAAGGACCACUUCAUUAGAGAUUGCACGGAGCUUGAUGAGAAGAAUAAGAUUCAAGGUGCAAGACCUAGUGGAGUGACAACUAGAGGUAGACCACCGAGAAUUUUAGGAGGUAGGGGUGGUAGUCAGAGAGGGGCCUCUGAUACGGCUGUUCGAGCCGAGAACCGUACUCCUGCUAGAGCAUAUGCCAUUCGCGCACGAGAGGAGGCAUCCUCCCCCGACGUCAUCACUGGUACCUUCACUCUCUUUGAUACUAAUGUGAUUGCAUUGAUUGACCCUGGCUCUACUCAUUCAUAUGUAUGCGAAACCUUAGCAUCCAGUAAGACUCUACCUGUUGAGUCUACUCAGUUCGUAAUUCGAGUGUCAAACCCUUUGGGUCAAUACGUACUUGUUGAUAAAGUGUGUAAGAGAUGCCCUCUAAUAAUCCGAGAAUCCUGUUUUUCGGCCGAUUUGAUGCUUUUGCCGUUUGACGAAUUUGAUGUUAUUCUUGGUUUGGAUUGGUUGACCGCGCAUGAUGCGGUUGUGAAUUGCAAAAGUAAGACUAUUGAUUUGAGGUGCGCAAAUAACGAGAUAAUCCGAGUUGAAUCUACGGACUUAAGGGGGUUGCCAGCUGUAAUAUCAGCAAUGUUGGCCCAGAAAUAUGUAAGAAAAGGGUGCAAAUCAUACCUUGCGCAUGUACUUGAUGACAAAGAAUUAGAAAAGAAACCCGAAUCUGUGCCGGUGGUUUGUGAAUACCCGGAUGUUUUUCCUGAAGAAUUACCGGGUUUACCACCUGUUCGGGAGAUAGAGUUUGGUAUUGAGCUUGUACCUGGGACUACGCCGAUUUCGAUGGCUCUGUAUCGUAUGGCACCAACCGAGUUAAAAGAGUUGAAAGCUCAGUUGCAAGAAUUGACGGAUAGAGGUUUUGCUCGACCAAGUUUCUCACCUUGGGGUGCACCAGUAUUGUUCGUGAAAAAGAAGGACGGAACCAUGAGGUUGUGCAUUGACUAUCGUCAACUGAAUAAAGUGACAUAAAGAAUAAAUAUCCAUUACCGCGUAUUGAUGAUUUGUUUGAUCAACUAAAGGGAGCCUCAGUGUUUUCAAAGAUAGAUUUGAGAUCGGGUUAUUAUCAGUUGCGGAUCCGAGAUUCGGACGUACCCAAAACUGCUUUCAGAAUGAGGUACGGUCACUACGAGUUCUUAGUGAUGCCGUUUGGGCUCACUAAUGCCCCUGCGGUAUUUAUGGAUUUGAUGAAUCGGAUCUUCAGACAGUAUUUGGACCAGUUCGUAGUUGUGUUCAUUGAUGACAUCUUAGUCUAUUCAGGAGAUGAGACCGAACAUGCUGAGCACCUGAGACUAGUGUUGCAAAUUUUGCGGGAUAAGCAGUUGUAUGCUAAGUUCAGUAAGUGUGAGUUCUGGUUAAGAGAGGUUAGCUUCUUGGGUCAUGUGGUAUCCGCAUCGGGUAUUCGAGUCGACCCGAGCAAAAUUUCAGCCAUACUUAACUGGAAGCCUCCAAGAAAUAUUACCGAAGUUCGGAGCUUCCUGGGGCUCGCCAGUUAUUACCGAUGAUUUGUAAAAGGUUUCUCGAUGAUAGCCACACCAAUGACGAAGCUACUUCAAAAGGAUGCUAAGUUCGAAUGGACGGAGAAAUGUCAGAAAAGCUUCGAUCAACUGAAAACUCAUUUGACUGAAGCUCCAAUUUUAGUGCAACCCGAAUCAGGCAAAGAGUUUGUCAUUUAUAGUGACGCAUCCCUACUCGGGUUGGGUUGCGUAUUGAUGCAAGAAGGUCGAGUUGUGGCCUAUGCGUCGAGACAAUGGAAGCCACACGAGAGAAAUUAUCCAACCCAUGAUCUCGAACUAGCCGCCAUCGUAAUUGCUUUGAAAAUAUGGCGACAUUAUUUGUUUGGCGAAAAGUGCCAUGUAUUUUCAGAUCACAAAAGUCUCAAAUAUUUGAUGACUCAAAGAGACUUAAAUCUGCGACAAAGACCUUGGCUUGAGUUGUUGAAAGAUUACGAGCUUGUCAUUGAUUCCCACCCGGGAAAGGCUAAUGUGGUUGCGGAUGCCUUAAGCAUGAAAAUCAUUGUUUGCUUUACGAGCGAUGAAUGUGCACUUGUCUGUUCUACCCGACAAUAUGUUAGUAGCUGAAUUAAAAGCCAAACCAUUAUUGAUUCAUCAAAUUCGUGAAGCCCAGAAAGUUGAUGAUGAAUUGGUUGCAAAACGGGCUGAGUGUGUUUCGAACAAGGAAUCGGAGUUUCAAAUUGAUGAUGAUGAUUGUUUGAGGUUCAGAAGUCGUUUGUGUGUUCCAAGGAAUUCGGAACUCAUUUCGAUGAUUCUGAACGAAGCCCAUUGUAGCCGAAUGUCAAUUCACCCGGGGAGUACGAAAAUGUACAACGAUUUGAAACGUUGGUUUUGGUGGCAUGGUAUGAAACGAGACAUCUCCGACUUUGUUUCGAGAUGUUUAAUAUGUCAACAAGUGAAAGCGGAACAUCAAGUGCCUUCAGGAUUACUUCAGCCGAUCAUGAUACCCGAGUGGAAAUGGGAUCGAGUCACAAUGGACUUUGUGUCUGGACUGCCAUUGUCAGCAAGUAAGAAGGAUGCGAUUUGGGUUGUUGUUGAUAGACUGACUAAGUCGGCUCACUUUAUCCCCGUGCGUACGGAUUUUUCAUUGGAUAAACUAGCCGAAUUGUAUGUUUCUCAGAUUGUGAGAUUACACGGGGUACCUAUUUCUAUCGUGUCGGAUAGAGAUCCAAGAUUCACCUCGCGAUUUUGGAGAAAAUUGCAAGAAGCUUUGGGUACCAAGCUGCAUUUUAGCACUGCUUUUCACCCCCAAACCGAUGGUCAAUCUGAACGGAUAAUUCAGAUACUUGAGGAUAUGUUGAGAUGUUGCAUCCUCGAGUUCAGUAGUUCAUGGGAACGGUAUUUACCUUUGAUUGAAUUCGCUUACAACAAUAGUUUUCAAUCAAGUAUUAAGAUGGCACCUUACGAGGCUUUGUACGGUCGUAAAUGCUGUACACCAUUGUUUUGGACCGAGCUCGGUGAAAGUAAAAUUUUCGGAGUUGAUUUGAUUAAGGAUGCCGAACAGAAAGUAAAGGUAAUCCGUGAAAGUCUGAAAGCAGCCACAGAUCGUCAAAAAUCGUAUGCGGAUUUGAAACGAAAAGACAUUGAAUAUCAGGUGGGAGAUAAAGUGUUUCUUAAAGUUUUGCCUUGGAAAAAGGUACUCAGAUUUGGCCGUAAGGGCAAGUUGAGCCCGAGAUUCAUUGGGCCGUGCGAAAUCUCCGAACGAGUUGGUCCGGUUGCGUAUAGAUUGAUUUUGCCCCCUGAACUUGAAAAGAUUCACGAUGUCUUUCAUGUUUCGAUGCUUCGACGUUAUAGAUCCGAUCCGUCACAUGUGAUUAAUCCCUCAGAAGUUGAAAUUCAAUCUGACUUGAGUUAUGAAGAAGAACCGAUUCGUAUCCUAGCUCGUGAAGUGAAAGAGUUGCGAAACAAAAGGGUUCCAUUAGUUAAGGUGUUAUGGCUCAAACACGGGAUCGAGGAAGCUACUUGGGAAACCGAGAGCUCGAUGAAAGAACGAUACCCAAACCUAUUUACCGGUAAGAUUUUCGGGGACGAAAAUUUCUUAAGUGAGGGAGAGUUGUGACAGCCCAAAAUUGACCCUAGUCGGGAAGUGGUUUUGGGACCGCUAAACCGAGUCACCGAAAUGUUUGAAUGUGAUAUUUAUUGUCUAGAAUAUGUAAUUAUGAAUGUGUGAAAAUUUCAAGCUUCGAUUUAGUCGAUUGCAUGUGAAUUUAGUCAAUAGGACUUAUGUGCGACAUUUUUGAAAUGUGACAGGUCAAAGCAUAAGGACCUAUUAGUGCAUGAAAUAAAAAGGGGGGACUUGCAUGUCAAAUUUCCCCCCUAAUUAGUAGUGGCCGGCCAUGACAAGCAUGGUAGACCAAGUGUGAUGGGCAAGACAUGUCAUAGACAUGUUGUGUUGGUGCAUCAUGGGUGGAAAAAAAUAAAAUAAGGAGAAUGGGCAUAAAAUAAUGAAAAGGAAUAUGAUGGAAACAAAAAAAAAUUGUGUGGUUGUCUUCCCCCCCCCCCAUUUUGCCGAAACUAGAAAGAAAAACAAAAAAAAAGUGCUCAUCCUUUGGUUCAUCUUUGGCCAAAAAUUUUAAGGAGGGAGGAAGAAGAAAGGUUGAAGAGGUUCGGCCAUGCAUGUAACUAGGCUAAGGUAUGUUUGAUGAUGUUCCAUGAGAUGCAUGCAUGUUUUAAGUUGUAAGUUUGAAAUCUACCUAGCCAUGGUUCAAAUUUUGUUAAUUGAUGGAGAUGAUAUUCGGCCAUGAAUGUUACAUUCUUGGUUGGUAUUUUGAUGUCUUUGGUGAUGAGGUAUGAAGAUGGUUGAUUUUGAGUGUUUAAUAAAAAGGAUACAUGAAUUAUUGUUAAAUAAUGGUCGAAUGUAGCAUGAUUAAAGAUGUGAAUAAAUUGAAGUUAAGGAGGUUGUCAAUGAAAAAUAUGAGUUGGAUGAGUCUUAAAGAAUAAAAAUUUAGGUGACUAGAGGUCAAGGACAUUCGGUCAAAGGCUUGUGUGCUAGCAAAAUCGGCCAAGUGUUUAUGUGGUGGAAAUUAAGUGUUAAAUGGAAUGAAAAUGAUAUUAUAUGGGGGUAUGUAUAUUCGGCCAUACGAGUAAAUAUAUAGAUGAUGUUAAAUUUGAUUAUGUAUAAUGGGCAUUAAGAUGUGGAAGUUAAGAAAUGUAGUUAUAUGUGGAUUUACAUGAUGUUAUAGUUGACAUUGUACAUAUAUACAUACAUUUGGCCAUCUAAUUGAGUAUGAAGGUGGUGUUAAAUCUAAUUGUGAUGCCCAUUCCGAAGUAUAUAUACAUAUAUAUAUACAUAAGUAUGCCCAUUCGUGAUGUUACCUUUAAUUAUGUGUAUAAUCGACUAAAUGGGUAAUUAGUGAGGAUGGUUGCCAAAUAUACAAACAUACAUAUGCAUGUGUAAUUGAAUUAUGAAUGUUUAGCAAGAUGGUUAAACUAGUUGAUUUAUUGAUUAAGCUCAAGGAGUUAAAGGAGGAGAAUCAAGCAAAGGCAAAGAAAAGAUCAUCAAGUAGCCGAGUUGGAACCGUCUUACCCAACACAAAGUAAGUCAUUAAGCAUAUAGUUUGUAUUAAUUCAAAUGGUCAUAACGUCUAUGUAAUGAUGCUGAAUGCAAUGAUAAAUAUAUAUAUACAUGUAUGUAUGUGGUGAUGAAAGUGUUGAAUGAAAAGAAAAGAGGUGAGAUGUAUUGAGUUGUUGAUCUCGGCACUAAAUGUGCGGGUAUAAACAUUUAUGAUCAUGAGAUUGGCGCUAAGUGUGCGGGUUUAAAUUGUACAGCACUAAGUGUGCGAGUUUGAUUAUGUAGCACUAAGUGUGCGAGUUUGAUUAUGUAGCACUAAGUGUGCGAGUUUGAUUAUGUAGCACUAAGUGUGCGAGUUUGAUUAUAUAGCACUAAGUGUGCGAGUUGAUUAUAUAGCACUGAGUGUGCGGACUUAAUAUAUACUUUUGAAUCACUAUGGACACUAAGUGUGCGACAUUAUUGAGUUGAUCACGGACAGCGGAUCGGGUAAGUACCUUGAGUUCAUGGCCAAUAGGCGCUAUGUUUAUAAUUGGAGUUGAGCUUGGUAAGUUUGAACCUAUGUGACAAUUAUAAUUGAAGUCACGUACAUAAGAUUUAUCGUGGAAUAGAUGAAAGGUCGUUUAGUUGUAUGAUUGUAACGAAAAUAAAAUGAUGUAUGAAAAUGCCUCAAAUAUCCUAUUGAUUAGUAUAUGGAAUGUGAAUGCAUGACUUGGUAUGAGAUUGAACCGAUAGGUCUAAGGAACUAUGGUAUGGUUCGGUAUGGAUGGAGUAACUAGCCUCGUUCCAUUUUGUUUCCUCUUGUGAUAAUGUUGUUAAUGGAUGGUAGUGCAUUGCUUAUGACUUACUGAGUUAUAUACUCACUCGGUGUUUCCUUGUCACCUAUUUUAGGUUUCUUGGACUCGUCUCUUUUUGCGUGAUCGGGCCGUCAUUGGAGUCAUCACACCGGCUAGCAAGUUUUGGUACUUUCUUCUUAGUCGGCUUAGGAGAACAUUUCGGCAUGUAUAGGCUAUUAUGUUGUGUUUGAACUUUGGUAUGUAAACUUUUAGCCAUGCGAAAAUGGCAUAAAUGUUCGGUUGGGUUUGGUUUUAUAACGUUAGGUCGUAAGUCUUGAUAAUUCGACUUUUUUUUUAUGCCAUAUGUCAUGGUUAAUUAUUUUUGGUGUUAAAAUUCAUGAUGUGGCAAUAGUGUAGUAGGGAGAUGUUUGACAAUGAUUAGCCUUUGGCAUGGCUAGUCAUGAUCAUAAUUGGUGAUAUGUAUGAUGAAUUACUAGUUAGAUCAAGGAGAAAUCACGAAAUAGGCAUAGUUGCUUUCGUAACAGAUGCUGGCAGCAGCAGUGACGUGAGAUUGAAAAAUCACUAAAAAUAGUAGGAGUGGAAUUAAUUGAUGAAUAAAUUAUUUAAUCGAAGCUCGAUGAGUGUAUUUUCAUAUAGAAGUAACGAAACAAUCAUAUGGACAGUAUGUUAAGAGAUAUUCAGGUUCUCGUGAGAUAGGGCCAGAACAGUUUCUGGAUUCCCUGUUCCGACUUUGGAAAUUCAUUAUAAAUUAACCUGAGAUAAUUAGGAGUCAUGCCAUAUAUUUACAGAUUCCUCUCUGAGUCUAGUUUCUAUAGAAACAAACGCCAUCGGUAUUUAAGCUCUGUGCAGGGAGAUAUCCAAGUCGUAAUGCGCAAAGGUCAGUGUAGUCGAUCCCUGUAACAUGGGAGACUUUGAAUAAUAAACUGUACUAAUUGGCCCGACCAAAAAUUCUACAAAAAUUCUACCAUAUAGGUAUAUGAGUCUAGUUCCGUGGAAAAUUUACGGAACUGGAUUUCGAGUUUCAGAACUCAAGAUAUGAUUUUUAAAGCGACUAGUACGCAGAUUGGCAGCUUGUCUGGGAAAUGUCAAAUAAGUGGUUUGAAGUCUGUUAACACCUCGUGUUCGACUCCGGCGACGGUCUCGGGUUCGGGGUGUUACACUCACCCCGUUUCUAACUGUGCAGGUAAUCCCUAAGCUUAGAUGGUUUGGAGCUGCGAGGGACUCGGAGAUGGCCACACUACUAUUUCUGUUUCUUUUAAUUGCAAUAAGUAACCAGUUUAUUUUUUUAUAAGUUUUAUCUUAAUUAAUAUUAUUAUUUGGUUUUGGGUUGUAAUAAGGCCAUUUUAAUUAUUUUUCUGGGAUUAUUUUAUUUUAUACCCUAUAUUUUACUGAUAACAAUCCAAAACGGGUUAGACUUAGGGCGCGUUCCCAAAAUGAUAAUUGUUUUCAAAAUAAUGCAACGAUACAAUUAAUUGGUUUAUCAAAAAUAUCUACUUAAAUGAAUUCCACCUCGUUUUUCUCAAAACCUAACCUCGCACCAAAGUGUGGCAAUGGUUGUGCUCAUGUCUAGGAUUGGAUCCAAUCAAGAGCUUGGUACUUAAGCAGCCUUCAUGGCUCACCUCCUCUGUUUCGGAUACCUACCUGGUGCACAGCUUCUAUUCACUUUAUUAACUUAGCAAAGACUAUCUUUUAAAACACUAAGAAGGACAUUGAAAGAGGCAUGGGUUUUCUUAAAAACUUCAAUGUGACACGUCAGAUCCGGCCAUAAUGUCUGGGCUAGGUUUGGGGUGUUACAUUUAGUGGUAUCAGAGCCAGAUUACAAAACUCGGCUAUGGUAUGGGUAGCAAAAAAUUAUUGUUAUUUUUUUUCUUUUUUUGAAAUUGGGGUUUGAAAAGGGUUUUUCUAAAAUUUUGUUUUGAAAUUUAUCAACGAAACUUGACUUGUUUCUGAAAAGAUGUUACUAGAAGUGUGGCACACUGAGUCUCCGGCACCAAAUCUAUAAGUUCUCUAACUCUGUUUACUGUUAUAGAUUGAAAUGAUAUAUUGAGAAACCACUAUAGAUAGUAGCACUAUACUGGAACUCUCUAGUUAGAGUAAACUGUAAUGCUUGAAUUUAGAUUUAGUAUUUAUUUGGUUUGUGUUCUGGAAAUGUAGAAAUUGGUUGCAUGUGAAAUCUAUCCGCUCCGAUGGACAAAUGUUUUGGGUGUAUGUUAGUAUUAUUAGUAUCAGAGUCCACAGCGGAAGUGUGGUGGUGUAGUCUGAGAGUGGAAAAUUUCGAGGACAAAAUUUCUUUAAGGGGGUAGAAUUGUAACACCUCGAAUUUGGGCCUAGAAGUAUUGGGCCUUGAGUGGGGGUCCGUAAGGAGGUUGUAUAUAGGUAUUUAAUUGUGCAAUGAAAUGAAACAAUUAAAUGUUUGCUUUAGUAGUUAAUGGCUUGAGAAGUGUUGGAGAAAUCUUGGGUUCAAAAUUGGGCUUUAGUAAAAUUUUUGGUAUUAAGUGAAAAAAACCUGGAUGCUUGGAUGAGGGCCUUUUAAAUUAUUGUGUUAAAUAAAUGACACAAGGAGCAAUGUGGUUUAGUGGAAGUGGCGUAAUUAAGGUUGUAUGGGAGCCUGGGUUCAAGCCUUGGCUCUUGCAAUUUAUUCUGUUUUUUUUUAAGGGAACCUGGACUUUGGCCUUUAGACUUUAUAAUUAAUUGGGGAUAAAAUAUGACACAAAAAGAGCCUGUGGUGAAGUGGCAAGGUGGCGUCAUAGAGUUGGCAAGGAGGUCCAGGGUUCGAAACUCAUGGCAAUCAAAGAGCAUUUAUUUUGCUAACAGGGGGCGGCAAGAGUUGGUGUUGAAUUUAAACUCUGAUGUUGGAAGGAUCCCACAUUAGGAAGCUAACAUAAGAGUGGAUGCGAAGCUGGCUUUAAAUAGAGAGAACCAUGAGGACAGUAAAGGUACCUUUCUUGGCUGAUCCCUUUCGCUGUAUGGAGUGCUCGUUUGGGUUGGGCGUCGGCUAAGAGUGCUCAGAGCGUGGAUUAACUCCAGUCUCCUAUCAGGUGUGUAUUUCUCACUACUCUAGUUGUAGGAUGGCUACUUCGGGCCGCGAUGGGCUGAAAGGGGCCAUGUGGGCCCAAUAGGCCUACGAGCCCAAUUGGAUAAGUUGUUUGAUUGUGUAGUAAAUAUUGGACUAGGCUAGGUGAAUCUCAUAUUUGUGGCUAGAUUUGGGCUAAAAAGGUCACACGAGCAUGUGGGCCCAUUUGGGCCGAGAAUGUGCUUUAGGGCCAUUCGUAUUGUUAUCCCUAUUUAAAAUACUUUAGUUUGCAUAUUACAGAAAUGCCCUCGACUUGUAAAAUUACCAAAGUACCCUCGAUUUAUAGAAUCACUGUUUUACCCUUGAUUUACAGAAUUAUUAUUUUACCCUCGAUUUACAAAAUUACUGUUUUACCCUCGAUUGUGAAAUUACUAAAAUACCCCUAUAGGGUAGAAUUACCAAAAUACCCCUGAUUUACAAAAUUACAAAAAUACCCUUGAGUUUCUAAAAAUUACAGAAAUACCAUUGGUUUAGAAAAUUACUGAAAUACCCUUGGUUUGUAGAUUUACCAAAACACCCUUGUAGGAUGAAAUGACUAAAAUACCCCUAAUAGGUAAAAAAACUAUAAAGCCCUGUAGGGUAAAGUGACCGUAAUACCCCUGUAUGGUAAAAUAACGAAUAUGCCCUUUUGUUCCGUAUGACUGAUGUGCUUAGGAUUUACAUAUAUUGAUAUUGGAUUAGUUAAGUUUGAGUGAUAGGUGAUGGUUAUUGUAGGUGAUUGAUUUUGGAAACGUUUCAACUUCAACCCAUAACAGGUGUGUAAUAACCCUCGCAGUAGUUUAGAUUAAUAUUCGCCGAAAAGUCGAAAUGCUAAAAUUUCGGCAUUUCGGGAACUUGUGAUGUUGCCUUUGCUUAAAGAUGCGACAGAUACGAUAUGAUUGGUGUUUGGAUCGAUGGAGCAGGUAAGAGCGCAAUUUUGUGCACGAUGGUAAGUUGGGCCUCAAUGGGCUAGAAUCGGGCCUAAUGGGCUUUCGGGUCCAUUUGGGUAAUAGAAAAUGGAAUCUGGGAAAGUUGCAUGUUAACACGGUUAGUACUGUUGUAAAAUUUGGAUUAAGUAGGCUUAGUGGGCUAAAUCAGCAUUCGUAGGGCCCAUUAGGGGUUUUGGGCCCAAAAGCUCGAAUUUGAUAAAGUGGGUUAAAGAUCAUUGUUUAAACACUCAGAAAUAUUGAUAAUUGUUAAUGAACAUGGAAAACCCUGAUAUUUGGUAAAAUUAUGAAAUUACCCUUAUAAUAUGAAAAAUGACUGUUUUUCCCUUGUGGGCAAGUGACUGACUUGGACUGUAUGGUUGAUGGAUUUGAUUGUGAAUAUAUGUUGGUGAUAUGAAUGACUUGAAUGUGAUUGUUUGAUUCAAAUAUGGGCAUGACAUUCUGCAUACAUGACAUGUUGCAUGGGUUGGGUUUUAUAAAUGGAGGAAGUGCUAAAAGGGCUAUGCCCCAGUUUACCGAAAAGGGCUUUGCCCCAAUUUAUCAAAAAGGGCUUUGCCCCAGUUAUUAAAAGAGGCUAGGCCUCUAGUUAUAUGAUAAAGCAACUAUGCUGCUAGUGGAGAGUUUGGUUGGGUGGGUUGAGUUAUUCCCCACAUGGUGUGUUGGUUGGUACGAGUGGAGAGUAGCGGAUGGUGGGUUGAGUAGUCUCCCUAAAUGGGCUUGCAUACAUUCAUUGAUAUUACAUGUUAUAUUGAAAUGGGCCUAUGGGCCAAACCGUUUACAGUAAAGGCUUCGGCCCAGUAUAUGUCGAGACUGAAUUAGGGCUUAGGCCCAUACUGCUACUGUUUAAGGGCUAAGGCCCAGACUGUACUGUUACUGAAUAGGGCUUUGGCCCAAAUUGUACUGACACUAUGUUAUUCACUGUUUGUUUGUUGUUGGGGAUUACACACUGAGUUUUCGUAAGCUCACCCCAUUUCUAACUGUGCAGGUAAUCCCUAAGCUUAGAUAGUUUGGAGCUGUGAGGGACUCGGAGAUGGCCACACUACUGUUUCUGUUUCUUUUAAUUGCAAUAAGUAACCGGUUUAUUUUUUUAUAAGUUUUAUCCUAAUUAAUAUUAUUAUUUGGUUUUGGGUUGUAAAAAGGCCAUUUUAAUUAUUUUUCUGGGAUUAUUUUAUUUUAUACCCUAUAUUUUACUGAUAACAGUCCAAAAUGGGUUAGACUUAGGGCGCGUUUCCAAAAUGAUAAUUGUUUUCAAAAUAACGCAACGAUACAAUUAAUCAGUUUAUCAAGAAUAUCUACUUAAAUGAAUUUCAACUCGUUUUUCUCAAAACCUAACCUCGCACCAAAGUGUGGCAAUGGUUGUGGGCAUGUCUAGGAUUGGAUCCAAUCAAGAGCUUGGUACUUAAGCAGCCUUCAUGGCUCACCUCCUCUAUUUCGGAUACCUACCUGGUGCACAGCUUCCAUUCAUUUUAUUAACUUAGCAAAGACUAUAUUUUAAAACACUAAGAAGGACGUUGAAAGGGGCAUGGGUUUUCUUAAAAACUUCAAUGUGACACGUCGGAUCCGGCCAUAACGUCUGGGCUGGGUUUGGGGUGUUAUAGCUGGGCAUGCUUUAUCUCAUCUCGUGAAUAGAUCAGAAUGUCAUUAAUUAAUACAACAACAAAUCUGUCUAAAUACGGUCUAAAUAUUCUGUUCAUCAAGUCCAUAAAUACAACAGGUGCAUUAGUCAAACCAAAUGGCAUAACAAGAAAUUCAUAAUGUCCAUACCUGGUUCUGAAAGUUGUCUUUGGCACAUUCGAGUCUUUAACCUGUAAUUGAGAAUAUCCAGAAUGAAGGUUGAUAUUUGAAAAUGUUGUCGCACUUUUCAGCUAAUCAAACAAAUUAUCAAUACGUGGCAAAGGAUAUUUGUUCUUGAUCAGAACUUUGUUAAGCUGUUGGUAGUCUAUACAUAAUCGCAUUGACCCCUCCUUUUUCUUGACAAACAUCACAGGAGCACCCCAAGGAGAAAAGUUGGGCCUAGAAAAGCCUUAUCUGUCAACUCUUGCAACUGUGCUUUCAACUCUUUUAAUUCUAUAGGUGCCAUUCUACACGGAGCUAUCGAUAUUGGAGAUAUUCACGGCACUAAUUCAAUAGCAAACUCAACCUCUCUGACUAGCUGUAACCCUGGUAAUUUUUCUGGAAAUACAUCUGUGAACUCACAAACAAUCUAAACUGAUUCUAAUUUCAAUUCUGAAACCCAAGAAUCAAAUAUGUAAAUGAGAUACGUUUCAUAGCCCUUUCUAACAUAUUUUUGUGCUGUCAUAGCUGAGAUAACAUUAGAUGUACCAUCCAGCCUAUCCGAUUCCAUUUGGAUCCUCUCACUAUUCUGACAUUUUAACAUGAUAUGCUUUCAUCUACAGUUCACAACAAUGUCACACAAAGUUAACCAGUCCAUACCCAGAAUCACAACAAGCUCAUCAAAGGGUAAUAACAUCAAAUUAGCUAGAAAGUUGUAACCCUAAAUCAUCAAAGGAUAGUUUUUACAGACUUUAUCAACUAAUACAUACUGACCUAGAGGGUUCAUUACUUUAACCAUAAAUUCAGUAGACUUAAAACGUAUUUUCUUAUCUGACAUUAAAGUUGUGCAUACAUAUAAGUGCAUUGACCCCGGUUCAAUCAAAGCAUUAACAUUAGUAUCAAAGAUAGAAAACAUGUAACAUCCCGAUUUAGGGUCUAGUCAGAACAGUGGUUUCGAGACCACAAAUCUGACAUAAGAAAAUUUAUUUUUAUUUUAUUUUUAUGGUCUACACUUUUACAGGGUGAAUUUUUGAAAAUUUUGUUUGAAAAUUUUGACGUUUGGGCACUCAAUUUGGUUAAAAGGACUAAAUUGUAAAAAGUGCAAAACUUGAGUUCUAUAUGCUAGAGGUGUCCAAUUGUUAUGAAAUUUUAAAUUGGAGAUCCUUAUAUGGUAAUUAGACCAUUGGUAAAUUUUUUGGACAAAAGGGGACAUGUAAUAGGUGAAAUAGAAUAUUUUUAAGUUAGGGGCAGUUUGGUCAUUUAGUAAUUAAGAUGAAUUAAAAACAAAAUUAAAAGCCAAUUUUUGUCCAUCUUCAAGAUAUGGCUGAAACUUGUAUGGACAAACCAUGGAUAGGGUUUCCAAGCUUUCAAGCUCGAUUGUAAGUCCGUUCUUGCCCAAUUUUUAAUGAUUUUUACGUUUUUGAAAUCCUUGUAACAAGAUCUAGCUAUUUCUACCAUUUAUUUGAGCUAGGGUUGAUGUUUAAAAAUUUACCCAUGUGCUACAUGUGUGUAUUUUUAUGUUUAAUGGAGGAAUAUGAAUGUUUAUUGUGUGUUAAACGACUUUUACUAAGUAGUUUUCGGUGAAAACGCUAAAAAGGACUAAUUUAUAAAAGUUAUAAAAUUUGUCAUAAAAGUGUGAUUUAGUGGAAAUUGUGGGCUGCUAUAGUUAUGAGAAUGAUUCGACUAGGAUUAAAGUACAAAGAAAUUGAAUAGAUUUCAUUUUACGAUCCUAGGGGCAAAAAUGUAAAUAUGACAAAGUUUAAGGGAAAAAAUGUAAUUUUGCCAUAAUAUGAUUUUUGGGUCACAAUGAAUAAUGUGACUAAUUAGUAAGCUAAAGGUGAUAUUAUAGAUCAAGGAAAAUGAGAUUCGGACUUAGAUCGGGGAAAAACAAGUAUUUAACAGUUAAGUCCUUUUUUUCACCAUUUUUGGUAUCGAGGUAAGUUCGUGCGAUAAUAAUAAUGCAAUGUUAUACUUGAAUGUUAACGCUUGAUAUUACAUGAAUUGUAAGUUCAUGUGUAAAUAAUGUGAUGUAUUACAUGUUUUAAUGCUUUAAUGUUAUAUGAACUUAAAUGCUUAUUUGCUAUCAUGAAUUAUAUGCCUUGAUAUUCCAUGAGUACAUGGUUGGUAUUAUGGAUAUCGUAAAAGACAUUAUGAGCAAGUUUGAUAGUGAUGCAACAAGCAAGGAAACCUUGUUUGAACCUUAGGAAUAGUCUAGGAUACAAGUGACAUGUCACUAGGAAUUAAGGAAUCUGAACUCAUUGAGCGGUCUGGGUUCGUGAUAUAUAUGUGACAUCUGAGCUCAUUGAGUGGUCUGAGUUCAUGAUGUACGAGGUACAUGUAAUUUGGUUUUGGGUACUGGUCUUGUGUGUCCUACCGGUGGCUAGGUAGUCCUAAGUGGUUCGGAUACCUGACAGCUUGUGUGAGUAGCCCGCGUAGUUACACCCUGAUCGAUAGCUUAUUCUAGCAGGCCUGUAAGUAGCUCCAUUGUGAGCAUUACAUGUUAUGAGAUAGCUUUGGCUACGUAUGUAUAUGUGGUACUUAUGUGCAAGUUUUUCGCGUAUCCAAUAGUAUUCCAAGUGUUCAACGAGUAGUUCAAAGAAUGAUUUGAUGAUAGUCCCAAAAGGGAAUGUCAAAGACAAGAAUGAAUAUGUGAAAAAUGUUGAAAGGGUAUAGGAAUGUACGCUAAGCUUAUGGUUAUUGAGAUUUUGAAAUGUCGAGACCUCGGUGAGCUAAGAUAUAUGAAUUAUGAUUAUGAAUUUUGUUGCAAUAUCAUGCUAACUUACAUUGUGUAAUUAAACAUGGAAUCCAUGAAAUGGCGAGUUUAUGAUUAGUUAAAAAUGAACUUAUGAUAGUUAUCAUUAUAUUGCACUAAAAUAGUUUUGGACAGCUUGUCAUGAAUAUAAGUAAAAAGUGCAAAUAUGACUGUAUUACCUUGAGAUCAUGUUGUGAGAAUUGGUAGAAGCAUGUUAAUAAAAUGCUUAUUAUUUUCAUACGGACUUACUAAGCUUUAAAGCUUACUCCCCUUCUUUUCCCAUCUUUUGUAGAUUAAUUUAGCUAGCUCGAGUUGGAGAUCGCCAGAUAUGCUAUCACACUAUCAAGCUAUCAUGUUAGGUAUAAGUGAAUGCAAACCUCUUUAAGUUUAUGGCUUGUAUAGGGACUUGGUUAUUUGCUGUAUGAGUUAUUAUGAAUUGGUUAAAUGUAUUGGCUUGUAAAGGCUAAAGGUUGGAUGUAAUUUGUAGCCAUGCAAAUUGGCUAUAUUGGCUAAUUGGUUGUAAGCCCAUUAAUUAUGCAUGUGCAUAUGGCAAUGUUUUAUGAUGUGAUUUAUAUUUUCUUGAUAUAUAUAAUGAAUAUGAAUUUAUUCAUAUGUUAAUGCCUUUUGAGUGUGAAUUUAGCAUGAAAUGAUUUGGUAAGGCAUGAUGUUUAAUACAUGAUAGAUGAUGGUAUGAAAAUCAUAUGUUAUUGCUUGAUGGUAGUUUAUUUAUGCCAUGAAAUGUACUAUUGAAGUUGUGUUUAAGUAUGUGCAAAUAAGGGUGACAAAUGACCUGGUAAAUAGCCAUUUUCUUGGCUACACGGGCAGAGACACAGCCGUGUGUCUCAGCCGUGUGGAUAAUACAGCCUAUAACAUGGGCAUGUGACUUGGCCGUGUGGCCCUUAUUUGUUGAUGACAUCAUAAACAAAGAGUUACACGGGCUGAGGACAUGGGCGUGUCCCAAGCCACACAGACGUGUGUGACCACAUGGCCUAAUCCACAUGGGCGUGUGACUCUCCAAACAUGGAAAAUUUCUUAAGUGUUGUAAAAUUUUCAGAAAUUCUCAGUUUAGUCCCGAAUCACCUCGGUGUAUGUUUUGGACCUCGUAGGCCUGUAUAAGGGACAAUGUACAUAUGUUUGAUUCAUUUUAAAUUAAAUGAAAUUUUAUGGCCCGUUUUUAUGAAUUGUGUAUGUUUAAGUCCGGUAAUGCCUUGUAUCCUAUCCCAGCCUCGGGUACAGGUAAGGGGUGUUACAAAACGUACCAAUGAUCACAUCAGGUGUUGAAGCUUCCUCUGAGCACGAAUCGCAUAAGCACUAGCUAGUGCCCGUGCUUAAUAUCUAACAGUAGAAUCUUUCAUUCCACCUCGACUUUUACCCAUAUUUCCAAUGUUUCGGGGUGGUCUCUCUCUUGUAGCUGUAUUACUCGAAUGAGUAUUCUGAGCCUUUUCUUUAUCAAAUUUUCUACAUAAUAUCUAAUAAUCAUAGGAACCACAUUUAAAACACAACUCGUCUUUCAAUCUGCAUUCACCAAAGUGUCGUUUAUUACAUCGUUGGCAUUCAGGCUUGUUGUUCCUGACACUAUCUACACUCGCUAUAAAUGUAGCCUGAGGUUUUGAUUUCAAAUGAUGCUUUCCUUUAUCUCUCCCAAAAUAACCCACCGAAGCUAAUCAACGACUAUGAAAUUAUAAGAAUUCCUAAUGACAUGUCAUUUGGAUCCUAAGAAAUCCUAAGGUUCAACCGAGACUCAAUAUUCAUCAACUGAUCAUUGCAUUGAGAUGUUUAUAUAUCGAUCCAUUUACAUUACAAAUAACAUAAUAAUAUCCAAUUUAAAUAAUAUAAACACGAUAAACGUUCAUACGAACUUACCUCAAUGACUAGGGCGUAGAAGUUAAAUCAAGCUAUUCUGAAGCUUUUGUUUUGCCUCGAUCUAGGUUCUUACGUGUCUUAUCUUGAUCUAAAUAGAAAACUUCAAUCCAUUUAAUACUUAUAAUAUUAAAUUUAAUCCGCAUUUCAUAUUUAUGUAAAAUUACCAUUUUUCUCCUAAUAUUUUAACUUUUUCACAAUUUAGUCCUUAAACAUUAUUUCACAUUAAAACCCUAGAAUUUAUACCUUUAACAAUUUAGUCCCUAAUUUACAAAAAUUCCUCAAAAAUCACUUUAUAAAACUUUUUCAUUUUUCAACCAAGAUUCAUAAUCUAUAAUUUAACAUCAAAAUCCAUUCAAGAAAAUUCAUAGCAUAACCCUCAACCUUUAACAAUUUUACAAAUUUACCCCCGAGCUAGCCAGAUUAAGCUACAACGAACUCAAAAAUAGAAAAGUCAUUAAAAAAGAGGCUUGGGAACACUUACACGCAAGGUGGAAAGCUAACCAAGUGCUCAAGCUUAAUGUAUAUGGUGAUUUUUGGGGGAAAGAUGAAAUGGGGAAGAAGAUGAAUUUCAUUCAUUAAGUUAUUUAAUUUUAUUUAUCAAAUUACUAUUUUAACCUUUGAAAAUUAUAAUAAUUUCAACAAAACGAAGUCCAUAAACAUCCACUAUCACUUUAACUGGUCUAUUUACCAAUCAAGUCCGUUAGUUUAAGAUUUCAUAGCUAUUUGACUCCUUUAACUAAUAGAACUCUACUUUUACACUUUUUACAAUUUAGUCCUUUUUACUUAAUUAAUCAUGCAAACAUCAAAAUUUCUUAACGAAAAUUUAAUAUGACCUUACUAAUAUCCCACAGACAUUAAAAUCAUAAUAAAAUAAUAUUUAACUCAUCGGGUUUGUGGUCCUAAAACCAUUGUUCUGAUAUGACUGAAAAUGGGUUGUUACAGUAAGCUUUCUCAUACCUAUGUUAUCUUCUGAACUAUUUGCUUAUGUGUUUGUGAAUAUGUGAAUUGACAUGAGAUGCUAUAACAUGUGGUAUUUGGUUAUGAUAACUGUUGUAAAAGUGCAAAUGUGUACAUGUUAUGUAUAUGUUAAAUGUUACUGACAGUGUUUUGCUAAAGAUGAAAAUAUGCAGUGAUAGUGCACGGAUAAUCAAUAAGUGAUAUGUGUUUGAAUUUGGAUAUUUUGGCCUUGUGAUUUUGAAACUGUUGGAUAUUGUUGGCAUGCCAUAGGAUUGUGAGUACUCACCUAUAUGUACAGUGAUUUUGGGCGUUGAGGCUCUAGGACAUUUUGGAGGAAUAAGGGAAUGUGAGCUGAGCUCCAUUCAACGGGACGUGUGAGGGGAAAUAAGGAGAGUGUUAGCUUUAUACUUCACUUUUGGGACAUGUUGACUCUAUAAUUCUAUGUGGUGUGUUGGAGAUCCACGUAUCUGAUGAGUGGUGAUAGUGCCCACUUUUAUGUGUCAUAGCUCAAGUGUCAAUUUAUCUAUAAACAUAUUUUUGAGUAUUGUUAUAUAGGCUUAAAUGUUAUGAGAUUAUAUGUGCAAUGUGAUAUAAGCUUAAAAGUGAAUAUGAUUAUCAUGUAAAUGAUUAGUAAUAAAGCACGAGUAAGUAUAUUAUAACACUAGAGUUGGAACUGUUGAGGUUGUGUUAUAUGGUUGUUUCGUCGAUGCUUGAUAAAUUGUUUGCAUGGUAGUUGUUGACUGAGCAUGUGAAGCUCACUGACUCCCUUCUUAAACAACUGCAGAUUAGUAGUGUUUCGGUGUGAGCGGUGUGGUUCCAAAGGGUGAUCCAAGUAAACCCUUUUUCAUUAUUUCGUAGGUGUUAUUAUUAUUUGUUUUUGUUUUGGGGAUAAGGCAGUGUAGUAGACUUUUACUAAUAUUUUCCAUGAUUUUUUGGAUGCUUCCAUAGAUUAUUUGUUCCUAAGUUUAUGAGAUUCAUUUCAUAUUACGUUGAUUAUUGCUCGGACUUAAUUUUGAUGUUUGAGAAUAUUACUAUGGCCGUUUUUAUGUUUAUUUGAUGAUGAUAUGAUAGCAUGAUGAAUUGGUACAAGUUGGAAUGACUUAUAGGCUUAGAAAUGUGGUAUUUUUUUGGUUUGAAGAAGAGGUAUCGAUAUUCGUGUUGUAAAAAUGAUACCUCUAUGAUUUUGAAAUGUGCAGGAAGUCAAGAUCAUAAAUUGGUAUCGAUACCCUAACACGAGUAUAGAUACUCAAGGUAAUUUUAUCGAUACGUUUACAAAGGUACCGAUAAUUUUUAAGACUUUGGUUUUUUUUUACUAGAAACAGAAUGCUGAUUUGGUAUUGAUUUUACAAAUGAUAGCUAUACUGUACCAGAAAAAUAUUGAUACCCUUAUCCUAGUGUCGAUGCCUACGUGAUUGUCUUGGAAAUUUUGCUAAAUGGUCUCUAUACAUGUUUAAUUAUUAUUUUAAGACAUUUUGAUGUAUGCUUAGCGUGUAAUGAUGAUAAUUAAAGAGUGCGAUUGACUUAAAUCCCAUACGAAUGAUAAUAUGAAAGAUAUUACUUUUAGAAUGAGCUUUUAUUUGUUGUGUAUGACAUGAGAUGGUCGUGUGGCAUCUUGAUAUUUGGGCUUGAUGACUGAGCUGAGUAUAAGGUGUUACACAAACAUAUACCAAAAAGUGAAGCAUAAAGCUAACACUUUCCAACACACCAAACAUGUCCCCUUGAAUGGAGUUUAGCUCACAUUCCCUUAUCUCUCUAACCUGUCCUAGGGCCUCAAUGCCCAAAAACACAAUACAUAUAAAUAAGUACUCACAAUCUUAUGGCAUGCCAACUAUAUCCAACGAUUUCAAGAUAGCACAAGGCCAAAAUAUCCAUAAUUACACAAUUUUAAUACUGAUUUAAUGCACAUCACCUCUGUUCAUAUUCAUCGAUUUAAAUCACAACUUGUAAACUAUGCUUACUUAUCGGAUUCAUAUUUAAUUGCACUUUAGGUGCCACAAUAAUGCUCAUUGAGCCUUUAUAGCAUCAAAAUCAGUACAAUAUAUAUCACGUACAAGUAUUCUCACAUAUUACCUGUCAUAAUAAUAUCCUAUUCCACAAUUCAACACAUAUAUACUUACCAAAAUUCCACUUGCUUUCGCUACAUAUUUGCAUUAUUAGCAUUUCAUUAUCACUUUCAUUUGGUAUGUAUAUCAUGCCCACAACACAACACAACACAAUUCACAAUAGUCAUCACACAUGUCUUAUAUCACAAUAUCGCAUAAUAAUAAUCAAUCCACAAAUAUUCACAUAAUCACAUAAUUUGCCAAAAUAAAGCAAGGGAAAUAAAAAGCUUACACUCAAAUUUUAGGAUAGGGGUUUAGGCUAUUUCUAUGCUCUCAAGUAACACUAUGAAUCGUGUCUACAAGUAGCGGUUCCAAACAUUCAUUUUUU